rnacentral:lncRNA from 1 species
GUUGUGUCAACCUAAACCUUGUCACUUCGUUGAAUCCUUUCUUACCUCCCUAUCAUGCUAUCUCAUUUCAGAAUCUCCAUCUGAUCGAUAUCUCGCUAUCCAUCCACUCUUAAUUUGUUUUGGAUUUUAUUUGGAUUUACUAUUUCUUUGGUAUUUAUUUGUUUUCCAUUUGCUAACGUUACAACGAGUAGGGAGUAGCGAGGUUGGACAUGGACAGAAACAGGUUACCGAAGAAGGACUCAACAAUGAAGGCAUGCCUCCUUCUUUGAUCAUAUUUAUCCUAUGUUUACAAAAUUGCAUUCUGUUUUAUGGUUACUAUAUGCAUGCUAUUUUAAUUCUCGUAGCUAGUGUGUCGAUUGACACAUUACCCUGAUCCGCUUGUCGCCUAUUCACUUGACACCCGAGUAUAAUUAUAUAGUAUUCUAGUAGAGUAGAAAUGCUUAGCCAUGCUUAUUACCCUAUAGGUGCUUUGCUGAAUGUCCUUUUAGUCAUUGACACUUGAAACUUAUUUCUUGAGCUCGCUGAGCUAGGCAAGUUGGCCUUGUUGACCUUCUCUAUCCUCUUCUACUCUGGGUGAAACUUACCAUCUGAAUACUGGCGCGGGCGACAGCUAAAUCAAGGAUUGAAGGAGCGAUUGGCUGCCCUUCACGAGUUGAAGGGGGCAAUCAGUCGUCCGUGCCGCUUAAGGCCUAAUAAGUCUUGGAUUUGAAGAUUGUGAUAACAGUACAGCCAUAUGCUCUAUGGGCACUGGCUUGGUCAAGUAAGCUAGUCAGCCUUAGGUGUCGAUGUCGCCGUACCGCAGAUGGGAUAGCUGCCCUGCGGGGAGUAUCCUCGGCACAGAUGGGGGGACCUGUUUGAGGACGUACUCUCAGUUUCGUGCGCCAGAUCCGGUGGGCAUGUCACAUCUUUGGGGGAUCUAGUCCAAAGACCUCGUCACAAUCUCUCUGCCGGUAUACCGGAUGGUGUACUACGCUAGCGACGGCUAGUGGCAACAAGUCGGGAUUGUGUCGUGUGGGUAAAGUGUACAACCUCUGCAGAGUGUAAAACUAUUCGAAUAGCCGUGUCCUCGGUCAUGGACAACACAUGAAUCUUUCUUGACAUACAGGACAUGUCUUGCUUAUUCCCUCUUUACCCCUAUUCUUGGAACCUAUGAAGAGUAUGAGUUGAUCGAGGAUCCUCACUUUGAUUAAAGUUAUUCUGGAGAUAAAAUAUGUUUUCAUCUAAAACUGCUUUUAUCCAACUGCUUUAUUUGUCAAACAAAAUUAGCUUUAUGCAAAUGAGCCAUACAACCUUCCUUUGAAGCCACAUGUAGUUAUUAGGACCUUCCCUAAGGGAGGCAUGUUGAGUACGUAAUGUACUCAUGGCAAUAAUUUUGUUGACAACAGAGUUCCAUGAAGACGAAGGUGAUGAUUAUGACAACUAUGGCGAUCUGUAGGAGUGAGGUCAUGUGGACUACAUCGACUGCCUGUGGCUAAGAUGGAGUUGCUACGCAUUUGUACUUUCCGCUGUUUUCUGAUUGUAAUAAAUGUCCUGAGACAUUUCUCUAUAUGUAUGACUUGUGGCAAUAUUUAAUAAACUUGCAAUACAUUUACGUAUUGUGCAAUGAUACCAUUUCGCGGUGUUGUCAACAAUGAUCCUGGGGUUGACAAAUAUACACAGGAGGGUCUAGAAAUUAAUUUCAGGUUCUCAUAGAAGUGGUAUCAGAGCCGAUGUCGACCUAGUCGUGUGGCCUUACUUAGAAAUGGAAAGCCUUAGGUACUAUUGUAAUAAGAAAAACUAUUUUGAAAAGGAUCAUUCUCGUACUCUUCUCCUUCACUAUUGCUAUUGUCAUCUCAUCUUAUUCAUUUGAAAUUUUAACUCUACUUCUCUACCAUCUUCAUUGUAGUAUGUGAAACCCUUUUCCCUGCCCUUGGUGUUGAAAAGUCAGAAGCUUCACACGAUGUGCCAAGAAUUUCAAGAUAACUUCAACCCCUGAUGCUUUGAGUAGCAACAUUUUUCCGAGAGAAGACACUUCGAGACCUCAAGAAGGCAACAACUGUCGAUCGUGAUCCAAUCGUCAACGUUGAAGAUUUGCUCCAAGAAUUAUUGUGACCAUCCAUAUAGGAUUAGGUUGGUUAAUACCCAUGUAGUGGUAGGACUCGUAACUAGUAGACGCAAAACUUUUUUGUGUGAGUAUCGUCUGCAUAUUUUUCUUCUGGCGUUUUCCUAUGCAGUCAUACUAAAACCCUAUUUGCCGAAAUGAGUUGCUUUUGAGUUUUAUUUGGAUAGCUUCAUGGUUAUCUCGGUGUUAUCUUUUGUUUAUCUUCUGGGUUAUCUCCGCCUUGUGUGAGAUUCUUUUACUCCUCUUAUGUUCUUUCCCUCUUCUCUAUAAACUCUGGAGGUCGCCUUGAGAUGAGCGAAGUUUCAACAACCCACUUAGAGAUAUAUUAUGAAAGAUAACCCUAUGGAAAACCUCCUUUAAGGGGGGUAGUUGAUGGCGAUGCAUGGCGAGAUCAAAGAUUUGAAGACCUUCAUUCACAAAGAAGAAGAAGAAGAAGAAAUGAAUACCUUCACUACAUCUACCAUAAGUUUAACAUGAAGGAAGGAUCAAUGAGUCUAUCCGCACUAAAGCUUUGAUCUGCAAAAGAAGGGCAAGACCGAAUAAUAUUCAACCAAUCAGAGGAGCUAUCAAAUUACCAUCGCAAAGACCGAAGGACUGCUGCCAAGCCCUGAGCAAUCUAGAGAUAGUAUCGACAACUGAAGUAUCUCUAAUCAAGACCCUGAAGUUGCUAGCUUAUCACCAAGAUCAGAUUCGACCAUGACCCCACAAGUUUUUUUAAGGACUCAGUCGAAGACGAAGCUAACCCAAACCGAUUCUCUUUAGUUAGCCUGAAUCUCGGGGACGAGAUUCCUUUUAAGUGGGGUAGAUCUGUAACAUCCCGAUUCUCGGAAUGUUCAAGAAAAAAAAUCCAAAAAUCAGGACGAGAAAAUUGGUUUGUUUUAUUUGUUAAUAAAAGCUUAAAUUGAGUUUUCAUAAAGUUAGUGGAUUUAAUUUGAACUUUUGCAACCUAAAUUAAAUUUGAGUUGCUUAUUUUAUUUUAGUUAGUUUUUUUUUUCUUCGGCAUAUUCAAAUAUGCGCCUUUGGAAUUUUAUUUGGUUGUUUUGUUCUGAAAUUUGUUUGAGCGUUUUAUUUCUAGAUUUUCCUUUCUUCUCUCAACUUUGGGCGAAAUUCCCUUGCCUGUCAGUCCCAUGUUGUUCUCUGGUUGCAACUCACAUUUUUUUUAACGAAUGGACCAAGCCUAACCUUUUUUUUUUGUUCUCUCUCAUGCUAUUAAUGGGCUGGCCAAACCGACCCAUUUCCCCAACGGAGCAAGCACCCCUUCUCCUCCCUUCUUUUCUGUACGCUAGCAAACCUACACAGGAAAGUAAACAGCCACACCUCCAAGGAAAGAAACGCCAUCAUCAAGUCAUGAUUGCUGCCUCCACAAUUCCUUAAAUCCAGUUUCCAAAACUAAAGUCUUCAUCUUGUCCGCCUCCUCUUCUUCCUCUUCUCUGUACGUUCCCAGAAACAGAAGAGAAAACAUACAGCCAUGAAGAAACCUUUCCUCUAACUCCCUCAACUCUCCACCGUUUACAAUUCCGGAGACAUAUAGACGUGCACCCCAAACUCCUCUUCCAUUCCAACAGCAGCCCCUACCUUCUUCCUUCUCAGUUCUCUCAAGAACUUUCCUGAAGCAAUAGUGCUCUAUGGACGCCGGUCGUCGAUCCCGAUGAAGGAGGUCAUCUCCAUCCAAAUCCUUACGUCAGAAGAUUCUCCACCAGACCACAAAUCCAUUCGGAGAACAAGAAACGCGUUGGGUCAACCACACGUGAAGAAUUCCACAUGUCCACGUACACUGUGCAUCAAGUUCGUCGCACCGUUCCGUCAACCCCGGUGAGUCACUAUUCAAUUCCUUUUGCACGCAUGCUCAACGUCAUCCAGAGUACCCCUAGACAUCUUGCUCCAUCUGUUCGUCAUUGUUGGUCGCGCGCAUGACGGAGCCGUGCCACUACUACUGCUUGGGGUGAUGUCGCCGUUGCUCACUCGAGAGACUCCACCAUGUACAUCUUCUUCGCAUCGCGUGAACAAGCAUGCCAACGUCUCCUACCACACCAUUGAACAACUACAUCGAUGGCGCAUCAAGCACCUCAACAUCUUGUCAUGGCAUCGUCCUUUUCAACCUUUCUUUGGUGAGCCAUCGUCCAACUCCGUUCGCACAAAUGCUUUACUUUCUCCAUCCUAUCUCCUAGACACCAUAGCUCCACCUAUGUUUGUCGUUGGGUGUAUAGAUAACAUCCGUCGCCAUAAAACAGAGGAAUUACCGUAUUUUUUUUCGUUCAUCGGUUAAUAUCGAGCCCAGUAUGCGAAACGUUCUAAAUAAUCCUAGGAAACACUUCGGUUGUUUAGUUUCAGUUUAGCAUAUAUGAUUGUUAAUUUGUAUUUUUAGAGCUAUUGGAUUUCAAGGGAAUUGAACUCUGUUCAUGAACUUGAGCAUUAUUUUUAUUAUCUUCUUGGUAUGCCUAGGAGUACAUGCUAGUUGUUCCAUAAUUUUGUGCGUGACAUAUGACUUUUUAAAUUAUUAGUUUACCGAUUAUAAUUAUUUCAAACUAAGUUUUGCAUGUUGUCUCCACUUGACGAUUUGUUGUAUUGGGUAUAGUCCUCUUUUAUGCAUGCGUACAUUUUUUUGUGAAUGCUUGCCAUGCUUUAAUUCCUUAGAAUUUUUCUAGGUGUUGCUUAUUUAUCUAAUCUUGGGAUACUUCAUGUUUUAAUUAUUUUAAUUUUUUGUUUAGCAUAGUGAUAUCUUAAAUAUGGUUGCAUAUUCAUUUUCAUCCAUGUCGCACGUUGUUUCGUUUGCAAUUAUGCCAUGUCUACGAAAGAGGCUUGUAUAUUUUGGUACAUGUUGUUGCAUGGUUCUUUUAUGCUAGAAGUCAAAUGAAAUGGUUUCUUGUUUGAGAACAAACCCAUUGUGGUUCUUGUCGCAUAACAUAUUAUUUCCUAGGUAAUCCUCUUAUUUUGUAGAUGUGCAUUAUCCAUUAUUUCAUGUGGUUGGUUGCUUCAUGUCAUGAUUCUGAUUUGUAUUGCUAUGUUUGGUAUAUGCUUGUAUCAUAUAAUUUUAUUUAUACUUCUUGUUAAUUAUCCUAGAUGUUUUGUUUACCUAGGAUGGUAGUUGCGCAUGCUUAGUUGAUAGACAUGCCGUGUUAGUACUUACAUAAAGUAGAAUGCACAUUUUGGUUAUAUGCCUACCAUGUGUUAUAUCAUUGCUAGUUUGUAUCUUAUGUUCAUGCAUUGGUUAGUCUUGUUAUAUAUACAUGAUAGUAGUUUGUAGGUAUCAUAUGUUCUUUUAUUCAAUAACUUGUUGCUUGUAGAAUACUAUGCCAUAUGUUGUUAUGAUUGUAUGACUAGAUUGCAUAGUGUGUCGGUGUAUCAAUUCAUAGUAUAGAUCAUUCCAAGUUGUUAUGUUAUGUCUUUACAAUUGUAAGUUGUAAUAGAUAAAAAAUGCAUGUCAUAUCAUUACUCAUGCGCUAGUAUAGUACAUUGCUUAAUGUUGUCGAUGCCAUGAUCUAGUAUUGCUUGCCUACAUGCUUAGUAUGCUUCCUCGGUGUGCUUACAGUCAUAACUAGUAUUUAGGGAUUGCGUGCUAUUGCUAUGCUUGAUAGUCAUGUUAGUUGGUAUCAACUAAAUUAUGUCGUAGUUAUGAGUAGUACUGUAUCGGUAGCCUAGUAUCGUAUCUCUUGUGAUGAUUAUACAUGUCUACUUGUCAUAUCUACUUUAUUUAGUUGUUGCAUUUGUCGUAUGCUUAAGCCUAGACAUGUCAUACUAGUAACCAUGCACGCCUUGUUACACUCCAUGUUAUAGUUAUUCUAGUGUUGCUUAUAUAUGCUUAACUUGUCGCACGUUAGUAUUAUGAAUGCUCUAUACUUGUUGCAAUAGUUGAUCACACGCAUAUGAUAGUUACCGUUCAUGUUAGUUGAGUUGUAUCUUUCUCAUAUGCUUAGUGUGCAUAGUUUGAUCUCUUGUUUAAGCAUGUGCCGAUCAUAUUAUUGCUAGUGGUUAUUUGGGUAUUAGUUCCUUAUUAUUAAAAGCAUAUCCUAGUUUAGUAUCUUAUCACGAUCAAUCGUAUGUGUGAUGCUUGUGUUAUUCGUUUAGACAUCUAGGGAAUCUACACUCACAUGCCUUGUGUGAGAUGUGUGUUAUUAUUAAGUUGUUUAAUUAGUUUCUACCUUAGUAUUGGUUUGUCUUCUUUUAUAGAAAGGCUUACUAAUAGUUGUUAUGAUUGAUGUUUAUUCUUUGCUUGUUGUUAACCAUUAUAAGUAUUUGGAUUCAUCUAGAUAUUUAUUAUUGGUUGAUUGUUAGUCUUAAUCAUAUCAUGCCUAGGAUAGUUGUUCAUCCAUUUGUUCCAUGUGUUGCAUAAUUUCUUGUUAAUUGUUUGAUAAAUGACUUGGUUUGUUAUAAUAGAGUUGAUCCUAUUUUAUAUUAAUAAUGUUAUAGGGUUAGACCUAGGUCAAUUCGAUUCAAGUUGUUGAGUGAUGUUUGAUUGCUUAAUUGGUAUGGUUUGUAAUGUUUGUUCGUUUGGCUUACGGAACUAUUGCCUUUCGAAUUAUUAUAUAGUUGAUGUAUAUGUUUGACUACUAUUGACCAUUAUAAAUAUUUAGAUUCUAUCUAAAUAUCUAUUUGUGGUUAACUAUUACCUUCAUCAUGUCAUGUUGUAAUUGUGUCGUUAAAUGCAUAGGAUGGUUCCUUUUCAUGUUUGUUGAUGCCAUUGUGUUUGUUAGAUAGUAGUCUCCUAUAUAGUUUGUCGAGAUGUGUAGUGGGUACUACUAGUGGUUAGUACCAUACUUCGUAUUAGAACGUUGGUCUUGAUCGUCAAGCCAUCCAUAGUUCUGUCAACCUAAACCUUCUCACUUCGUUGAAUCCUCUCUACUUACCUCCCUAUCAUGCUAUCUCAUUUCAGAAUCUCCAUCUGAUCGAUAUCUCGCUAUCCAUCCACUCUUAAUUUGUUUUGGAUUUUAUUUGGAUUUACUAUUGUUUUGGUAUUUAUUUGUUUUCCAUUUGCUAUCGUUACGACGAGUAGGGAGUGGCGAGGUUGGACAUGGACAGAAACAGGUUACCGAAGAAGGACUCAACAACGAAGGCAUGCCUCCUUCUUUGAUCAUAUUUAUCCUAUGUUUACAAAAUUGCAUUCUGUUUUAUGGUUACUAUAUGCAUGCUAUUUUAAUUCUCGUAGCUAGUGUGUCGAUUGACACAUUACCCUGAUCUGCUUGUCGCCUAUUCACUUGACACCCGAGUAGAAUUAUAUAGUAUUCUAGUAGAGUAGAAAUGCUUAGCCAUGCUUAUUACCCUAUAGGUGCUUUGCUGAAUGUCCUUUUAGUCAUUGACACUUGAAACUUAUUUCUUGAGCUCGCUGAGCUAGGCAAGUUGGCCUUGUUGACCUUCUCUAUCCUCUUCUACUCUGGGUGAAACUUACCAUCUGAAAACUGGCGCGGGCAACAGCUGAAUCAAGGAUUGAAGGAGCGAUUGGCUGCCCUUCACGAGUUGAAGGGGGCAAUCAGUCGUCCGUGCCGCUUAAGGCCUAAUAAGUCUUGGAUUUGAAGAUUGUGAUAACAGUACAGCCACAUGCUAUAUGGGCACUGGCUUGGUCAAGUAAGCUAGUCAGCCUUAGGUGUCGAUGUCGCUGUACCGCAGAUAGGAUAGCUGCCCUGCGGGGAGUAUCCUCGGCACAGAUGGGGGGACCGGUUUGAGGACGUACUCUCAGUUCCGUGCGCCAGACCCGGUGGGCAUGUCACAUCUUUGGGGGAUCUAGUCCAAAGACCUUGUCACAAUCUCCCUGCAGGUAUACCAGAUGGUGUACUACGCUAGCGACGGCUAGUGGCAACAAGUCGGGAUUGUGUCGUGUGGGUAAAGUGUACAACCUCUGCAUAGUGUAAAACUAUUCGAAUAGCCGUGUCCACGGCCAUGGACAAUACAUGAAUCUUUCUUGACAUACAUGACCUGUCUUGCUUAUUCCCUCUUUACCCCUAUUCUUGGAACCUAUGAAGAGUAUGAGUUGAUCGAGGAUCCUCACUUUGAUGAAAGUUAUUUUGGAGAUAAAACAUGUUUUCAUCUAAAACUGCUUUUAUCCAAUUGCUUUAUUUGUCAAACAAAAUUAGCUUUAUGCAAAUGAGCCAUACAACCUUCCUUUGAAGCCACAUGUAGUUAUUAGGACCUUCCCUGAGGGAGGCAUGUUGAGUAUGUAAUGUACUCAUGGCAAUAAUUUUGUUGACAUCAGAGUUCCAUGAAGACGAAGGUGAUGAUUAUGACAACUAUGGUGAUCUGUAGGAGUGAGGUGACGUGGACUACAUCGACUGCCUGUGGCUGAGAUGGAGUCGCUACGCAUUUGUACUUUCCGCUGUUUUCUGAUUGUAAUAAAUGUCCUCAGACAUUUCUCUAUAUGUAUAACUUGUGGCAAUAUUUAAUAAACUUGCAAUACAUUUACGUAUUAUGCAAUGAUACCAUUUCGCUGUGUUGUCAACAAUGAUCCUGGGGUUGACAAAUAUACAUAGGAGGGUCUGGAAAUUAAUUCCAGGUUCUCACAACCAUGAUCUUGCAUGUGCGUAGGAAAUUUUUGAAAUUACUACGUUCCCCAACACCCCCUCCCACUACAAAAAAAUACACUUCUGUGAUGAUACGUGUUUGUCACAGUAGGUCGCAUUUUCUGUCAUGCAUGUACAUCCAUGAUGAUUUUAUGACAGAAUCAAUAUAGUCAUACAUGUGUUGUCGUAGAAGUGUUUCAUGACAUUACCAAAAAAUUAUCAUCACGGAAGUGUCCACUUCCAUGACGAUAAAUCCCGCGUCACAGAAGUGCUUUCGUCAAGGAUGACCGACACGUGGCAUCCACCGUAACGGAACACCAUUAAGCUAUCGGGUCGGGUUUUGGAUCUGAUAACCCGUUAACAGCCCCGACCAAUGGGGAUUUUACACGUGUAAAAUCAUUAUUGGCUGGAGGAAACACGUGUCGGCUCAUCGUUGGGACAGAUGUCAUCCACUCAUUGGACAGAAGGCGCCUAUGAUACGUCGACACGUCGCACGGCCCAACAGAGGCCCAUUCCUGUGAAAAGGUCAGCCCGUUUGACUUGGUCAAAAGGUGGCGGGCUGGCCCAUGUAAAGCCUGUUAACGACAUGUUCGCAUAUAGCCCAUUUACAGCCCGCUAACCCAAGGCCCAUUACGCCCUAUCCGAAUUAGGCCCAGUAGCGUCAUCUGGGCCACCCAAUAUGAUUCCAGCCCGUUUUCACUUCUGGCCCAUGUAUGGCCCAUGAUGUCUUUCGGCCCAUAUGAGGCCCUAUGUAACUCUUGGCCUAUUAACGGCCCGUGGUGAAACUGGCCCGUAAUGAAUAGUGUAUCACUUUACACCCAUUAACGGCCCGUGGUGAAACUGGCCCGUAAUGAACAGUGUAUCACUUUAUACCCAUUAACGGCUCGUUAUUCUGUUGGGCCGUUUCCAUCCCAUGUUAUCUUUUGGCCUUCUCAGAGCCCAUUUAUUCUUGGGCUCAUUUCCUGCAUUCCUUUACUUACGGCCCGUUACUGUCAUUUUCUGCUUGUGGGCCAAAUUCAGCCCGUGGUUACAGUCGGCCCGUUUGUGGUCCGUUAAUACGUUGGGCCAUUUUCAUAGCGUCAUCAAAUACGGCCUAUUAACGAUGGCCCGUUAUGGUCGGCCCAUGAACGGACGAUUCCAACUCUAGCCCAUUUACGGUCAUAAUGCGGUCUGUUUGGCCCAUGUUUGGCCAAUUGAUCAUACGGCCGUAUAAGGCCCAUUGAUGAUAUGGCCCACAGAAGGCCCAUUGUUUCUACGGCCGUAGAAGGCCCAUUGUUUCUACGGCCCGUAGAAGGCCCACUGUUUCUACGGCCAAUAGGAGGCCCAAUGUCACUACAGUAAAUAUUAGCCCAUGGUUAUUGUGGCCUAGUUUUAAAAAAUAGGUUAUUGCAGCCACUAGCUAACCACGGAAAAAGAACUGCAAUGACUACAAGCAAACAAAUAAACAAGACAACAAGGAAAUAAAUAAGCAAGCAACUAACGCUAGGCUAUCACGGCUAUUACACAUAUUACAUCCAUUGGGCAUCAAAGUUCGCCACCACUACAAAUAUAGGGAACAAAGCAGCAUAUCAUAUAUACUGGUUGUCAAAGUUGGCGACCAACACAAAUAAACGCCGCAGCAAAACAAAUCCAGAACUGAAACCACUUCAGAAGAUCUCAAGAAACAAUAUCCUGGGUACCCAUAAUGCUGGCAAGAUGCUUAGCAAGCUUAUUAACUUUCUCUUGUUUGGCGCUUAAAUCCUCCAGUGCUUGAUGUUGCACCAGAAAAUAUGCAUCUAAAUUCUGCAGGGACUUCCUCAGUACUUCAGCUUCCUGUCGCAGCACAUCUGAUUGAUGUCUUUCAACUUGAAGUUGAGACUCAAGAAGACGAACUGAUUCAGGCAGCGAGUUCGAAGAGCUUGUGCCAGCAGUAGUCGCCAGUAACUCGAACACUACAUCAAGACAGGACUUUUGGGUUCCCUCACCAUCGUCAAGAUAGUUUUUAUCAUCUUCCUUGGAGACCAACAGGGAUGUCUCACUAUCCUGAACCUUAUCUACAUUACUUCCUUUACCAUUGGAUAACGCGGUACUGUUCUCCAAUAUUUUGUAUGUAUUCUAAAAGAGAAACAAGCAGACACAUCACAUGUUUACCAUGUUGUAUAUGAAACUCAUUUUGGUAAAUGAGUUCAGUAGUAAAGUGGACAGGAUAACAGCAUGAAACAAACAUAUAUCUAUGUACCAUGGUCACUUUAUGGUCUAUAUCAUUCUAGUUUUUGUUGCCAAAUCAAGAUAGAGACACAGUUCAAAUAAUAUUUGUUCAAGACAAAGCAGAAUAGACAGAAUAUAAGUGUGGGUAACUAUAGAGCAAUAACAACACUUGUAAUGUGCAUGACAUGAGAACAUAACUGUUUAUUCAAUUGGAACUGAAAUCAACAUAGAGCAGGUUACAACAGCAAACCAGUUAAAGAAACAGGUUUAAAACAUACCUGUUGCGCCAUUGGAGUUUCAAUUCCAUCCUUCAAAUUUGAAAAUAGUUGGUAUGAGUAAAUACAGUAAUGCAAGAGCAAAGGAGUAUGAACCAUAGCUACAAAACCUGACCUAAGAACAAAUCUUCUUCUCCCUUAAGCGUUGAGUUGGGAUUCGGAGUGGUGGUCCUCGUGCUUUGGGCACUGCAGUUCCCUUACUAAUUGCUCGUGUUUGGGUGCUCUAUGGUGGAGACGGUGUUGUGUCAACUGGAACUGGGUUACUAUCUGCCGGGGUUGGGGUUAGAAGGGAUGUAGCUGGUUCUCUGUCCAACUGGGUAGGGGUACAACCUGCGAGAGUCUGGGUUAUGUGUGGUGGAUCUGGUCCUUGGGCAAGUACAACCGUGGUUCUAUCUGCAUCAACUGGUAGCACUAUCUUUUUUGAAGACCGUGUUGUUACUCCCUUAGAUACUGCCAUCACGCUCUCCAAUUCAAAUGGCUGAUAAACAAGAAAAGUAAGUGAAAGUAUAGACAUUGUAUGAUAGACAUGUGCAAUGGAUAGUGGGGAAUAAAAGAGGGCAUGAAAUAAUUCAUAUUUAUGUUGUCUAACCAAAUAGGAUAGCAUGACACAAUUUCACAUAUAUGAUGGGUAACUAAACAGGAUAGCAUGACACAAUUUCACAUUAUGAUGGCUAACUAAAAAAGAUGGAAAGACAUAGUUCAAAAUAUGAGACUAUGUAAACAUGAUGACAUGUCAUAACUAUAUAAUGUGUUUAUUAAAUAGGUUGGCAUGCCAUAAUUCACAUACAUUCACGGAUAGAAUGCCAUAAUUCAAAAUAUGAUGACUGUAAACACUAAACAGGAUGAGAUGAUAUAACUAUAUGAUGUCUUUAUUAAAUGGGUUGCCAUGCCAUAAUUCAGAUAGAUGAUGUGUAUGUACUAUGUAAACAUGAUGGCAUGAUAUAAUUCAAAUAUAUGAUUUAUAUAGUAAGCAAGUAAGCAGAUGGCAAUCCAUAUAUGAUGUAAAAACUAAGCAAUGCAAGACAACAUGCAUGACAUGGGUAAUAUAACCCUGCCAAGUUUGAGCAUAGACCUCAGGGGGGGAAUAGGACUGGUCAUCAGUCUCUGAAUCCUCCUCUGAGGAGCUCUCUGUAACCAGCAAGAUGUCUGCUUCAGCAGGUAGCAUUGUCUGCUCUGAAUACCUUGUUUUCACUCCAGAUACUUCCAUCACCGCUUCAAAUGGCUGAUGCACAGGAAGAGUAGUUGAAUAUACAAACAUUGUCGACAAAUGGAACACGUAAUACAAAAAAUGAUAGCAUGAUAUAAUUCACAUACAUGAUGAUUGGCUAAACAGCAUGGCAUUGCAUAAUUCACAUAUAUAAUGCCUUUGCAACAAGAUAGCAUUGUAUAAUUCACAUAUAUAAUGUCUUGCAACAAGAUGGCAAUGCAUAAUUCACAUAUAUGGUAAUUAGACACUGAACAUGUGGCAUUCACACAAAGCAUGUCUAAACUAAUCAAAUGACAUAGCAAUGUGAGACACCAUACGCACGAUAUGAGCAACAUAACCCUGCCAAGUUAGAGCAUACACCUCGGGGGGAAUAUGACUAGUCAUCUGUCUCUGAAUCCUCCUCUGAUGAGCUAUCCGUAACCAGCGAGAUAUGUGCUUCAUUAGAUAGCAUACUCUGCUCUGAAGACCUUGUUUUCACUCCAGAAUUUUCCAUCACCGUGUCAAAUGGCUGAUGCACACGAAGAGCAGUUGAAUGUACUAACAUUGUUGACAAAUGUAAUAUGUAACGAAAAAAGGAUGGCCUGAUAUAAUUUACAUAUAAGAUGACUGGUUAAGCAGGAUGGCAUUGCAAAAUUCACAUAUAUGAUGCCUGGCUAAACAAGAUGGUGUUGCAUAAUUCACAUAAACGAUGAAUAAACUAAACAGAUGGCAUUCGCACAAAGGAUGUCUAAACUAAGCAGAUGACAUAUUUGAUGUAUAAAGUAAGCAAUGCAAGACACCAUAUGCAUGAUAUAACCAACAUCAGCAUGCCAAGUUAGAGCGAAGACCUCAGGGGGUAAGUAGGAGUUGUCUUCUCCUUCUGAAUCCCCCUCAGAACAGAUAUCUUCCUCUCGAUUACAAUCCGAAAUGCAUGGAGGGGGGGCUGACUUUGCGCCUACCAUGGAGCGACGUCUGCAUGAAAUUUUAUUGCCACACAAGGCUCUUCUCUUUUGCUCUACAUGUUCAGUUCCAUUGUUUACAAUAACUGUCAUGCAUAGGAAUAAAACAUAGUGAGAUUAUGUAAGGAGUGCAUGCAGAAAUCCAGAGUGAUGGUAGCAACCUGUGGAUAGACCCAAAACCAAUAAUAGCAGGUAGAUAAUGGCUUCAGUUAAAAAAUAUAGAUAAUGGCUUCUUUACUAUUUGUUUCCCACCCAACAUGAAACUCAUAGUAGACACCGGAGAUUAACCAGAUAGUAGUUAGAUACUAUUGAUAGCGGCCCCGAUAUGUACCCCACAACCAUUUAAAAACUCAAGUUUGACCAUUAGUUUGGAGCUAACUCGGAGUCUAAUCGGUGAACAGGACGAUAAAGUAGCAUGUAAUGUUAAGCGAUGCAUAACGUAAGCAGACACAAAAGAGUGCAACCUCUCUUGCGGACCCGUGUAGUCCUCGAUGUCAUCUGCUCGGUUGAUGAUGGUAAUGCAGUUUUCAUGGCUGCCAGCAGCAGGGAAGAAGAUCUGAGGCGGCGAAAGACAGUCCGGAGGUCGGAUCCCUGCUGUGCUGGACCCUUCUAUCGUUGGAGCGGCUGAGCUGGGGUGGACGACGGCGCAGCAGGAGCAGGACAAACCACGCAAGGUUUUCUUUGACAACUAUCUGUAAGAGAAGUAAUUCUAUAAGGGCUCGUUUGAAUUGGAGGAUUCCAACAAUGCAAGGAUAGGAAAUAGACAGGAAUAGGACAGGAAUGCACGUGCAAAACAGAGAAUUUAAAAACACAGGAUUUCUGCCAAUCUGGGUGUUUGAUUCACAACAAUUGGAAGAUCACAGGAUGCAAAGAAGCAUGGUGAGAUUAAGUCAAACCACAAGAAAAUGUACGGUUAUAAUGCUAUUAUGCUACUAUCUCUUAGUCUUGUGCUUCAUGAAUAGGAAUUUGAAAAGGAGGACAAGUGAAAAUUAAAAUUCCUACGUUUUUCUUUCAAGGAGACACUAAAGGAACAAAUACGUGUGCUCAGUGGACAAUAUAUAUAACAUGUACAGUAAAAAAGAGAUGCAACAAGUGUACAACCUCUUUGGCAAAGCCAUGUCGAUCUCAGCGUGAUUGGGUUGGCCGGUCAGGAUGCUCCGGCUGACUUUGCUAUCGGAGGAGGGGAAGAAGAUCUUAGGCAUCUGGAGAUGGAGCCCGAGGUACUGCUCCGCUGUGAUGGAGGGUUUCGUUGUUGGAGCAGCUUCGGUGAGUUGUACGAUGCCGAGGCUGAAGCAGGAUAAGAGAGACAACGAACAACGUUAACCUGAGUGGAAUUCUAAUAGCAUCUCCAAUACAUGAUGUAAAAUACAUAACCACAAAGUGCUAGAUGUAAAAUACAUCAGCCGCUCAUCUCUGAACUUAACUGUCGAAACUGAAUUUAACUGUCGAAACUGAACUUAACUGUCGAAACUGAACUUAACUGUUGAAACUGAACUUAACUGUCGAAACUGAACGCACUAGCAAGGUGAGGCUACAUGUCGGUCGACUGACUUUUUCAUCUCUGGUCAGUCGAUUUUGCAGCCGUUGGAUACGAAUCAAGGGCAUGCAGUUCAUCUUCAACCUCCACCCCCCCUGAGCCGCCAGCCACCACCGGCCAAACAGCAGCCCCCCGCCGCCCGCCGCCCGCGGCCGGCGGUGCGCCGCCCUGCCCGCCCCAANNNNNNNNNNNNNNNNNNNNNNNNNNNNNNNNNNNNNNNNNNNNNNNNNNNNNNNNNNNNNNNNNNNNNNNNNNNNNNNNNNNNNNNNNNNNNNNNNNNNNNNNNNNNNNNNNNNNNNNNNNNNNNNNNNNNNNNNNNNNNNNNNNNNNNNNNNNNNNNNNNNNNNNNNNNNNNNNNNNNNNNNNNNNNNNNNNNNNNNNNNNNNNNNNNNNNNNNNNNNNNNNNNNNNNNNNNNNNNNNNNNNNNNNNNNNNNNNNNNNNNNNNNNNNNNNNNNNNNNNNNNNNNNNNNNNNNNNNNNNNNNNNNNNNNNNNNNNNNNNNNNNNNNNNNNNNNNNNNNNNNNNNNNNNNNNNNNNNNNNNNNNNNNNNNNNNNNNNNNNNNNNNNNNNNNNNNNNNNNNNNNNNNNNNNNNNNNNNNNNNNNNNNNNNNNNNNNNNNNNNNNNNNNNNNNNNNNNNNNNNNNNNNNNNNNNNNNNNNNNNNNNNNNNNNNNNNNNNNNNNNNNNNNNNNNNNNNNNNNNNNNNNNNNNNNNNNNNNNNNNNNNNNNNNNNNNNNNNNNNNNNNNNNNNNNNNNNNNNNNNNNNNNNNNNNNNNNNNNNNNNNNNNNNNNNNNNNNNNNNNNNNNNNNNNNNNNNNNNNNNNNNNNNNNNNNNNNNNNNNNNNNNNNNNNNNNNNNNNNNNNNNNNNNNNNNNNNNNNNNNNNNNNNNNNNNNNNNNNNNNNNNNNNNNNNNNNNNNNNNNNNNNNNNNNNNNNNNNNNNNNNNNNNNNNNNNUGAAGUGUAGCUAAAUCAGAGCAGCAUCGCAAGCAAGAGCAAGAGUGAGAGCAGCAGCGCGAGCAAGAGCAAUAGCAAGAGCAGACCAGGCAAGGGACCGAGAGCAAGAGCAGAGCAGCAGCGCGAGCGAGAGCUAAAGCAGCAGUAGCUCCUACUGAUGUGGAUGUCGCCGCUGAGGGAGCGACACCGUGGAGGAAGUGGCCGGCAACGCCGUCGUGGAUGGAGUCGCGCCGUGUCGGCUCGGGACCGAGCGCUGGCAGCACUGUGAGAUCGAAUCAAGAAGAAAAUGCGGCGAUUAGUGUACAACCUCUCUGGUGGCGCCGAUUAGGCCGCAGCUUCAUCCGAGGAAACGGUGAUGAUGAUGCUCUUCCGAUGGUGCAGGUGAAGAUGGCGGUGUGGGAAUGGAGGUGGCGCGAAAGACGAGGGGAAUGUCGGGGCAACUCCUUGGAGGUGGAGGACGGGGUGGCUGAUCCGGCGGGACGAUGAGAUUGAUGACGGAUCCUCAUCCGGUACGGUGGAUGAGGGACAUUGAGGUGUUGCUGUGGACGACGUCGUCGGGGAAGAGGCUCCGGCUGGGUGGCGGACGGAGCAGUGUGUGGGGUUUCGUCGUGGGUUUUCGCGGCCUCGGUGUACGAAUGUGUGGGCGGAUGGGAUGGCAGUGGGGAACCAUGGCUUAGAGACGCGCUUGUCUGAAAUGUGGGGUAAGUUACGAAAGAACCCCCACCAAUUUGAGGCAGUUCUUUCGGUUCAGGGGUACCACGGGUAUUUCGCGUGUCGGGAUUUCACAGGAGGUGGGAGUUUUUGCGCGCGUUUUAAUUUCGGAAUAGCAAGGCGUGGGUUGAGAUGGAGGGAGUUGUCGGAGCACAACGAGACAAAAGAUAUAUCUUAAAUAUUUUGGGCUAACAAGGCGCGGGUUGAAAUUUCCAGACAAGCCUAACGUGUACUGUACCAAAACAAUGCGCACUACAAAUGUCAUUCAAAACUUUGAAUUCAUGUUAUGUUCAAUUAAAAUAUUUCACUACGUGUAUAAUGCAUGCAACCUACAACUCAAAUGAACGUUUUAGUGCAUUCCAAACAUAUAUACUACCGCUUCAAUAUGAACUAAAUCUGAAUUCGUUUCUCUAUUUGAAUAAGAUCUACAGUAAUGAUUGUUGUGAAGUCAAAGCAUUUGAAUUCGUUUCUCUGUUUUAAUAAGAUCUACAAUCAUCAUUAUUGUCAAGUUAAACCAUCGUUUGUGUAUUAUCUUCACAGCACACCACAUGAUUAGUCUCGAGUUACAUAUGAACUAUGUGUACUAUAUGAACUCGAACUAGAUUUUUUUAGUCCACUUUAUUUUGAUUUCAAAUCACAUUACAUUUCUAGCUUGAAAGGAUCGAGAAGAGGUGUCUAGAGGGGGGUGAUUAGACACUAAGUGCCAAAAGUUGCAGUUUUUAAAAUUCUUAAGUUUAUGUGGAGUUUAAGCACAAGUUUAACAAACACAAUACAUAUCAAGCAAGCAUGCAAUGAGUAUAUGAGCAGCGGAAAGUAAAGCAUGCAACUUGCAAGAAUGUAAAGAGAAGGGUUUGGAGUAUUCAAACGCAAUUGGAGACACGGAUGUUUUUGUCGUGGUUCCGAUAGGUGGUGCUAUCGUACAUCCACGUUGAUGGAGACUUCAACCCACGGAGGGUAACGGUUGCGCGAGUCCCGGAGGGCUCCACCCAUGAAGGGUCCACAAAGAAACAACCUUGUCUAUUCCAUCACGGCCGUCACCCACGAAGGACUUGCCUCACUAGCGGUAGAUCUUCACGAAGUAGGCGAUCUCCUUGCCCUUACAAACUCCUUGGUUCAACUCCACAAUCUUGUUGGAGGCUCCCAAGUGACACCUAGCCAAUCUAGGAGACACCACUCUCCAAGAGGUAACAAAUGGUGUGUUGAUGAUGAACCCCUUGCUCUUGUGCUUCAAAUGAUAGUCUCCCCAACACUCAACUCUCUCUCACAGGAUUUGGAUUUGGUGGAAAGAAGAUUUGAGUGGAAAGCAACUUGGGAAAGGCUAGAUAUCAAGAUUCAUAUGGUUGGAAUGGAAUAUCUUGACCUCAACACAAGUGUAGGUGGUUCUCUCUCAGAAAAUGUGUAUUGGAAGUGUAGGUAUGUUCUGAUGGCUCUCUCCACGAAUGAAGAGUGGGUGGAGGGGUAUAUAUAGCCUCCACACAAAAUCUAACCGUUACACACAAUUUGCCAAGCUCGGUGGGACCGAAUGGUUAAACUCGGUCGGACCGAUUCAGCAAACCUAGUGACCGUUAGGAUUUUCGGUGGGACUGAGAUGCAACUUGGUAGGACCGAUAUGGUUAGGGUUAGGGCAUAACGUAAUCUCGGUGUGACCGAUUACACAAACUUGGUGGGACUGAUUUUGGUAAUAAGCUAACCAGAGAGUUGGUCAGGAAAACUCGGUGAGACCGAUUACACAAACUAGGUGGGACCGAUUUUGGUAAUAAGCUAACCAGAGGGUUUGCAUUGUAAUCUCGGUAGUACCGAUUGCUCAAACUCGGUGAGACCGAUUUUGGUAAUGGACAUACACAGAGAGAUUACAAUCCCAUCUCGGUGAGACCGAGAUCCCUAUCGGUGAAACCGAUUUGCUAGGGUUUGUGGCAGUGGCUAUGACAUCUGAAACUCGCUGGCGCCGGAUAGAUAGAAUCGGUGGGGCCGAGUUUCAUAUGUGGAUGUGGGAAGGUAGUUGAGGGUUUUGGAGCAUAUCACUAAGCACUUUGAGCAAGCAAGCCAUUAAGCAACACCUCAUCCCCUCUUGAUAGUAUUGGCUUUUCCUAUAGACUCAAUGUGAUCUUGGAUCACUAAAAUAGAAAAUGUAGAGUCUUGAUCUUGAAGCUUGAGCCAAUCCUUUGUCCUUAGCAUCUUGAAGAGGUUCCACAUCCUCUAGUCCAUGCCACUCCAUUGUUGAACUUAUCUGAAACAUACUAGGUAAAAGUGUUAGUCCAACAAGAGAUAUGUUGACAUUAAUUACCAAAACCACCCAGAGAGCACUUGUGCUUUCAAUCUCCCCCUUUUUGGUAAUUGAUGACAACAUACAUCAAAGCUUUAGAUAAAUAUAUAGAGAAUAGCAAGUAAAGCUUUGGAAAGACAUGUAACAUGCAUAGGCUCCCCCUACAUGUAUGCAAUCAUGUGAAUAUUGAAUAUAGGAGCAUGUGAAUGCGUAAACAUGACAGAGUAAGCAAUGUGUUACAUGUAUCUUGGCUAUAUGCAUCAGAGCAAAUGAUGUGAAUGUGAGAAAUGUACCUUCAUGCUCAUGCGUCCUUCUUGCAAACAGUAUGUACAUCAGCAAGAAUUUCUCAUUCACAUGACUGUGAUGCAUAUACUUACCUUUUGGUCUUGAGUUGGCUUAGGAUGGGAUGAACCUGCGCAAACAAGGUUAAAUAACACAGAUACACCUACUGACCAGAGCAAGCAAGAGAAACCACAAGAGAACCAAGACUGGGAUGACAUGUAGAGUGAGUACUAAGUACCACAUUGGAUACAGACAUGUCCCCAAAGGUAAAGAUAUGCAAUAAAAUCAGAGAUUUCCUUCCCUUAGAUGUCUUGCUCCCCCUGAAUCUACAUGGGAUAUUGGGAGAAGAUAGGGAACAGAAAAUCAGAGCAACAAAAAAGGAAACAACAGAGCUUGAGCUAAAGCAAGCAACCAAACAUGUCUUUCCCCUCUUAAAGACAUGUGACAUCUCUCCUCUUGAACACCAAGCAUCUGGGUCUUUGAUGAUAUUACUUUCUCCUAGUUGAGAAACUCUCUCCCCCUGAGUAUUCUCUCUUUCUCCCCCUAUAGGAAGGAUUAAGCUUUGAUGUGAUCUCUCUCUCCCCCUUUGACAUCAAUUUCCAAGAAGGGCUCUUCUGGACAUGUGAUACAAAUGGGUUGGUCCUCGAGUCACAGAGCAAAGCAGCAUGUCUAAUAUGAUGCUGGUAGAGGACAAGAAUCAUUGAGUAGAGCUGGAGCAAACAGAAAUCAGGAAUAAGUGACAAGUUGGUUUUCUUGUGGUGGAAUCGGUGACUCCGAGUUGUGUGCUUUGGUUGCACCGAAAGAUUUCGGUUGGGCCGAAGAGAACAAACCGGUGUGACCGAGUUCAUUAGAGUGAAACCACUUGUCACCUCAGCUCACUAGACAAGUAAGAUCUCACAAGGAUAUGCAAGGAAUUUACUGAAAGAUUUGCAAUGAAUUGGAUGCAGAAAAUGCAAAACAAAAAGGAAAGAAAAGAAACUAAAAGUUCUAGAUGAAGUUUUUUUGAAAGGGGAAACAAAUAUGCAAGAUACAAAAGCAUGGAGAGACACACGAGAACUUCAUCUAGAGAUGGUCAGCGACAAAGUCACCUAUGUUAGAGUAUAUUGACUUAGAAGUCAAGUGAGAGCACUUGAUCAUAGGUCAUACUCGUCGUUUAAGCUCAAAAUGGGGUUACCAUUUUCGUUUAAGCCUUUUGAUGUAUUCACAUCUUGUCGAGUUGCUUUGACUCAUGACUUGGAGUAAAGCUUCUCUAAGAUGGAAUAACAUACCUUGGGUGGUGGUGUUGAUCUUGCUCAUGUAGUUGAACUUGUGUGGGUUGCUCAAGGUUGAUGUAGUUCAUCAAGGGUUGGGAGCACCACUUGGAGUUUGAGUUCAUCUACCUACAUGGGUUAGCUUUGCAAGGAAGAGCACUUGUGUAUCCAAAAUGACAAUCAUGAGACUCAACAUAGAAUUUGCCAAAGGAUAUGUUUGAAUGGUUUCGUGCUUCCUUGUCUUCAACCACAAUUGUGUAGAGACUUGGUGAUGUAGAGAUUGCUCAAGAUGUGAGUGAGUUGCAAUCUCAUGGAUUUAGAUUCAACCAAGUACCUACACGGGUUAGAUAACAUGCAAGGUACAAAUAUAUCCAAGACAUAUGAAUAGCAUCAUAAGAGAAAUAUCAAGGAUUAGUCAUAGGCUCAUGCCCCGCAUGUAUCAAAUGGAGUUCCUACUCCAAGUUUGAAGCAUCAAUGAUGUUCAAUUCACCUCUCAACAUGCAAAACACUUUCUCAUCAAGUGGUUUAGUGAAUAUAUCCGCCAAUUGCUUAUCGGUGCGAACAUGCUUAAGGUUAAUGUCCCCUUUUGCAACAUGAUCUCGAAUGAAAUGAUGACGAACUUCAAUAUGCUUAGUUCGAGAAUGUUGCACGGGAUUGUGAGCAAUCUUAAUAGCACUUUAAUUUUCACAUAGCAAUGGAACAUGUUUCACAUAUAUCCCAUAAUCUUUAAGAGUUUGGGUCAUCCAAAGUAAUUGAGCACAACAUGAACCAGCGGCAAUGUAUUCCGCUUCGGCGGUGGAUAAGGAUACCGAGUUUUGUUUCUUGGAAGACCAAGAGACAAGAGAUCUACCAAGGAAUUGACAAGUACCCGAAGUGGAUUUUCUAUCAACCUUGUCUCCGGCAUAGUCCGAAUCGGAGUAGCCAACAAGAUCAAAAGAGGACCUCUUAGGAUACCAAAUGCCAAAAUUUGGUGUAUGGAUUAGGUAUCUCACUAUCCUUUUCAUAGCCUUAAGAUGACACUCUUUAGGAGCAGCUUGAUAUCGUGCACACAUGCACACACUUAGCAUAAUAUCGGGACUAGAGGCACAUAGAUAUAACAAUGAACCAAUCAUAGAGCGAUAAAUCUUUUGAUCAACCGGUUCACCAUCUUUGGUCAAAUCAAGAUGUCCACUAGUAGGCAUGGGUGUAGUCAUACCUUUGCAUUCUUGCAUAUUGAACUUCUUGAAUAAGUCCUUGGUGUAGUUCGUUUGAGAGACAAAGUUGCCUUCCUUAGUUUGCUUGAUUUGCAAACCGAGAAAGAAUUUGAGUUCACUCAUCAUAGACAUCUCAAACUUCUCCGACAUUAGCUUUCCAAACUUCUCACUAAAAUGAGGGUUAGUUGAACCAAAUAUGAUAUCAUCAACAUAAAUUUGGCACACAAAUAGUUCUCCAUUAACCCUUUUAGUAAAAAGAGUAGAAUCAAUUUUACCAAUUUCAAAGCCUUUUUCAAUAAGGAACUUGGUCAAGCAUUUAUACCAUGCUCUAGGAGCUUGUUUAAGACCAUAAAGGGCUUUGUGAAGUUUGUAAACAUGAUUAGGUUUCUUAGGAUUAAGGAAGCCGGGAGGUUGCUUAACAUAAACUUCCUCCUCAAUUUUGCCAUUUAGAAAAGCACUUUUAAUGUCCAUUUGGUACAAGGUGAUAUCAUGGUGAUUAGCAUAAGCAAGUAAGAUGCGAAUGGACUCAAGUCUAGCAACGGGAGCAUAUGUCUCACCAUAGUCCAUACCUUCAACUUGUGUGUAGCCUUGGGCGACGAGACGUGCUUUGUUGUGAACUACUUGUCCAUCUUCAUCUUGCUUGUUGCGAAACACCCAUUUGGUACCAAUGAUGUUGUGGUUGUUGUCGGGCUUCUCGACCAAUGUCCACACUUGAUUUCUCUCAAAGUUGUGUAGCUCUUCAUGCAUAGCAUUUAUCCAGUCUGGAUCCUCCAAUGCUUCUUCAACCUUCAUAGGUUCAAUGCUAGAGAUGAAUGAGUAAUGUUCACAAAAGUUAGCUAAACGAGUUUUAGGGUGAGUGAUUCUCCCGGUUUGGAUAUCAUUGUAGAUUUGCUCGACGGGAUGAUCCUUAGCAAUUCUUGCUCGAACUCGUGAAAGCUUUUGCUUGGGUCGGGGUGGAACAUCCUAUUCAUCUUGUGCUUCUUCUUGGCCUUCUUCAUUGUUGACGUUGUCGUUCUCUUGUCGUGGUGGAGAAGGAGGUUGUUGAUGUUCAUCUUGGUGCGCUUCCUUGUUUUCUUCAUCUUGGCGUGUCCCACUUGUGGAUGCUUCCGUAUCAACUCUUGGUUCACCUUGUCGUGAGGUAGAAGCUUCCACUUGGACGGACGAGGUACUCUCCUUCACUUCCGUUGGACGAAUCUUGCCAAUGGACAAGUCUUGAAUUGCUUCUGAAGGGUCUUUGUCUCCUACAUCAAUUGGCAAUUGCUCUACUUGUGAGCCGUUAGAUUCAUCAAACUUCACAUCUACCGUCUCUUCAACCUUUCGGGUGAAAUUGUUGUAGACACGGUAAGUGUGAGAGUUUGAGCCAUAACCAAGUAGGAAACCUUCAUGAGAUUUAGGAGCAAAUUUAGAACGAUGAUGCUUAUCAAGAAUGUAGCACUUUGAGCCGAAUACUCGAAAGUAUCCAACUUCGGGUUUGUUACCGGUGAGGAGCUCGUAUGCCGUCUUGUCGAGUAGCUUGUGAAGAUACAAGCGAUUUGUUGCAUGACAAGCUGUCUCAACCGCUUCCGCCCAAAAGUGCUUUGGCGUUUUGUACUCAUCAAGCAUCGUUCUUGCCAUCUCGAUAAGAGUCUGGUUCUUCCUUUCAACAACUCCAUUUUGUUGAGGUGUGUACGUAGCCGAGAACUCGUGUGAAAUCCCUUCUUCGUCAAGAAAGGUGUCCACAUUUAUGUUCUUGAACUCCGUUCUGUUGUCGCUCCGAACCUUCUUGAUCUUCAUGUCAAACUGAUUUUGGGCCUUCCUAGCGAAGUUUUUGAAGAUCUUUUGGACCUGCGAUUUGUCAUCAAGAAAGAACACCCACGUAAAUCUUGAAAAAUCAUCAACUAUGACUAGACCAAAUGAGUUACCACCAAGACUCUUGUAGGCAUUUGGACCAAAGAGAUCCAUGUGAAGUAGCUCGAGUGGUCUUCUUGUGGUCAUGAUGUUCUUCGCGCGAUGACUUCCUCCAACUUGUUUCCCUGCUUGACAAGCACUACAAAGUCUAUCCUUGUCAAAUAUGACAUCUUUUAUUCCAAGGAUAUGAUCACCUUUAAUAAGCUUAUCAAGAUUUCGCAUACCAACAUGACCUAGUCUUCUAUGCCACAACCAGCCUUUAGAAGAUUUGGUAAUUAAGCAAGUUCUAGGUUGAGCCUUUUUAGUGAAAUCAACAAUGUAAAGAUCUCCUCUACGUAUACCGGUAAAGACCAUUUUAUGAUUGUCUCUACGAAACACUUGGCAAUCUAUUUCAGUGAAUAAGACAUUGAAACCGAAAUCCGCAAGUCUAGAAACUGAAAGUAAAUUGUAUCCAAGGGUUUCAACGAGCAUGACAUUUUGUAUGGAGCUAUCAUGUGAGAUGGACACCUUACCAAGGCCAACCACCUUACCCUUUGAAUUAUCACCAAAGGUGACAUAUUUUCGAGGGCCAUCGUUUUCAGCAAGCUCAUAGAACAUAUCUUUAUCUCCGGUCAUAUGAUCAGUACAUCCACUAUCAAGGACCCAUUCCUUUCCUCCAGCCAUAUAGCCGUGAAGAUUUGCCAUAAGACCAAAAUGCCUCAUUGCACCAUCAAGAUCAUAGUCACUAUCAUCAUCUUCAUCAUAGUAUCCAUGUUCAACAUCAUCUUGUGAUUGAUCAAUUCCUAGAGAGGGUAAUUCAUUAGAUAAAUGAUCAUCACAAUGGUUACCUUUAUGAAUUCUAAUAGCUUCGGAUAUGAUAUCGCUAAUGAUUCCAACAUUUCCUUUAGCAUGCAUGAGAUUGGUAAGCUCAAAUAGACAAUCACCAAAGCUAGGAUCACUAGAGUUCAUCUUACUCAAGGCAAUAGACUUAUGGAGAAUUUCGUCUAAAUUUUUCAAGGAAUAAUCUGGAAAUCGUUCCUCAAGAAAUCUCCAUAUGGUGUAGGCACACUUGAGAGUAGGCAAACAUCUAAUCAAGUUUCUAGGCAAGCCUCUAAUGAUGAGCUCAACAGUUCUAAGAUUGCGAAUCAUGUCAAUAUCUUCAUCUAGGGUAGGGUGCAAAGGAUCAACAUGAGGUGCACAAGGGCUAGUAAUGUACUUGUUCAAAUGAUAUUCAUUGAAAAUCUCAAGCAUUUCAUUUUUCCACUCAUGAAAAUACUCUCCAUCAAGAAUAGGCACUCUAUGUCUAAGACUUCCAAAGUAGACACAUCCAUCUUCCUCCAAUGGUGUUUAAACCAAGGCAAUGUAAACCAAAGCUCUGAUACCAAUUGAAAGGAUCGAGAAGAGGUGUCUAGAGGGGGGGUGAUUAGACACUAAGUGCCAAAAGUUGCAGUUUUUAAAAUUCUUAAGUUUAAGUGGAGUUUAAGCACAAGUUUAACAAACACAUUACAUAUCAAGCAAGCAUGCAAUGAGUAUAUGAGCAGCGGAAAGUAAAGCAUGCAACUUGCAAGAAUGUAAAGAGAAGGGUUUGGAGUAUUCAAACGCAAUUGGAGACACGGAUGUUUUUGUCGUGGUUCCGAUAGGUGGUGCUAUCAUACAUCCACGUUGAUGGAGACUUCAACCCACGGAGGGCAACGGUUGCGCGAGUCCACGGAGGGCUCCACCCACGAAGGGUCCACGAAGAAGCAACUUUGUCUAUUCCAUCACGGCCGUCGCCCAUGAAGGAAUUGCCUCACUAGCGGUAGAUCUUCACGAAGUAGGCGAUCUCCUUGCCCUUACAAACUCCUUGGUUCAACUCCACAAUCUUGUUGGAGGCUCCCAAGUGACACCCAGCCAAUCUAGGAGACACCACUCUCCAAGAGGUAACAAAUGGUGUGUUGAUGAUGAACCCCUUGCUCUUGUGCUUCAAAUGAUAGUCUCCCCAACACUCAACUCUCUCUCACAGGAUUUGGAUUUGGUGGAAAGAAGAUUUGAGUGGAAAGCAACUUGGGAAAGGCUAGAGAUCAAGAUUCAUAUGGUUGGAAUGGAAUAUCUUGACCUCAACACAAGUGUAGGUGGUUCUCUCUCAGAAAAUGUGUAUUGGAAGUGUAGGUAUGUUCUGAUGGCUCUCUCCACGAAUGAAGAGUGGGUGGAGGGGUAUAUAUAGCCUCCACACAAAAUCUAACCGUUACACACAAUUUGCCAAGCUCGGUGGGACCGAAUGGUUAAACUCGGUCGGACCGAUUCAGCAAACCUAGUGACCGUUAGGAUUUUCGGUGGGACUGAGAUGCAACUUGGUAGGACCGAUAUGGUUAGGGUUAGGGCAUAACGUAAUCUCGGUGUGACCGAUUACACAAACUAGGUGGGACCGAUUUUGGUAAUAAGCUAACCAGAGGGUUUGCAUUGUAAUCUCGGUAGUACCGAUUGCUCAAACUCGGUGAGACCGAUUUUGGUAAUGGACAUACACAGAGAGAUUACAAUCCCAUCUCGGUGAGACCGAGAUCCCUAUCGGUGAAACCGAUUUGCUAGGGUUUGUGGCAGUGGCUAUGGCAUCUGAAACUCGGUGGCGCCGGAUAGAUAGAAUCGGUGGGGCCGAGUUUGACUUUUGGUUUAGGUCAUAUGUGGAUGUGGGAAGGUAGUUGAGGGUUUUGGAGCAUAUCACUAAGCACUUUGAGCAAGCAAGCCAUUAAGCAACACCUCAUCCCCUCUUGAUAGUAUUGGCUUUUCCUAUAGACUCAAUGUGAUCUUGGAUCACUAAAAUAGAAAAUGUAGAGUCUUGAUCUUGAAGCUUGAGCCAAUCCUUUGUCCUUAGCAUCUUGAAGGGGUUCCACAUCCUCUAGUCCAUGCCACUCCAUUGUUGAACUUAUCUGAAACAUACUAGGUAAAAGUGUUAGUCCAACAAGAGAUAUGUUAACAUUAAUUACCAAAACCACCCAGAGAGCACUUGUGCUUUCAUAGCUCUAGCUAGAUCUUCAUAAUCUAAACCAUGUCUCAUAUGUAUAAUGUGUUUAUCACAUUAUGUAUGGUGCCCCGCCCCCUACGCCUACAAGUAUUUAGAUGUGAGUUGCAAACACCACACAUUACCACAAAUUCAAAUAAAAUGUGAGAAUGUUCGAUAUAUAGUAUUGUUUAGAUUGUUUGAUAUUUAGUUGUAAGCUGCAAACGCCACACAUUAUCACAAAUUCAAAUAAAAUGUGAGAUUGUUUGAUGUAUAGUAUGGUUUAGAUUGUUCGGCAUUUAGCUGUGAGUUGCAAAUGCCAUGCAUUAUCACAUUAUGGUAUAACAUGUGCACAGCACGUGUAUCACCGCUAUAUUCACGCAUGCAAUGUUUAAAACACUAUGAUCUCCUAUUCAAAUAUAUGAAUCCGCUUUCAUAUCAAAUUAUGAUCUUUGUUAGUCUCUUACACCCACAUAAUCCUCUAACCUUUGUAGUUACCACUAACUUUCUCUCGUGCAUGCACACGCCCUCCUCGCCCUCCCCCUCCCUCGGCAUUCUAUACACCGGGCACAUUCAUUUUUUUUUCUUUAGGUCGUUCUCCCAGAGUCUCCACAACUCCUUUCCGACACACACCGAUCGAUAAACCUCUCCAGCGAUGCCUGCCUACAACAUACACACACACACCUUCAAUCUCCUCCUUUAUGUGUCCUUGCCUCGUGUCUCUCAUACAGUCAGACACACAUGUAAACUCUCGCCCAUCUUUUCAUCGAUCUCACAAUCGCACACUCCUCCCCCUAUCUAGCUAGUAGUUGGGCCUCUCGCACCACCUCCUAGCUCCAUUCUCUCUGUCUAUCCAUCUCGCUAGGCCUUAUUUGCCUCUAACAAAUGGACGUACACCGACCGAUAUCUCGCUAUACAUAUAGCUAGCUAGGUCCUUAUAACUCGUUUUUACCCACACAUCAAUCGAUCUACCUCAUUAGUUGUGUCUCUCCCUUCCUCCGACAAACAACAAUUGAUCUACCGAUCUAGUUAGGUUUGCUUACCAAACACAUGGUUUCCCUUCAUCAUCCAUGGAUGCAUCCCGACAGAUCUAUCACACACAGGCACACACAGAAACACAUCCCCACUCUUAUUGAUAACAUUGCAGUUCCACCCUCAGUUUGUCUAGUAGGCCUCUCCCACCAUCUUCGAGAAGCAACUCCAUCACCCAUCCAGCACUCUACCCCUCUCCCUCCCUCUUCCUCCCUCUCUCUCCUCUCUCUCUCUCUCUCUCUCUCUGUCCCAUCAUAUUUCCCGUCCUUCAGUUAUGUAUGGAUGUCGACCGAUCUCCCUUGAGACAUAGCUGGGUCUCUCCUUCUCAACACAUAUACGAGUCGUUCUACCUCUAUAGUUAGGCCUCUGCCUACCCCUCCCCCCACCCCCCCUCCCCCCACACACACCGAUACAUCGAGCGCUCUAGUCAUGUCUCCCUACCACACACAAACUUGACAUGUUCCCUCUAACAUUCCGGUAGACCAGUCGCCUUAUAUCUUUGACUUGCACACACACACAAUUUCGAUGGCUCUCUUCAUCGAUCUCGCACCCACCCACUUGAUCCUCUCUUCGAUUCUAUCGAUAGCUAUGACCCCUCCCUCUCUUCUCGUGGAUUGCCCGACCCUCUAUGUAUGAUAUGGAUAGGCCUCCAUUUCACACACAUUGCAUGCAAAAUUUUGUUUGAGAUGUCAUCGACACAUAUUCCCACAAAUAAUUCACGAAAUCAACCCCCACCCCAAAACAAAAAACACUCAUGAAUGCGGUUUUUAUCUCUCACACACACCCACUUAGGUGGGGGACGUGCACGAAGAGAAGAGGUGCAUGCACGGCGCACGUACUCCCGUCUCUUUCCCAACCACACCCGCGCGGGUACACAGUGGAGCUCAUUUCUGUACGAAAAAGGCAGCCCACAUGGUAAUUUGGCACGUGUACUGGUUGUCUACUUGGUGGAGGGAGGAUCUUCUACCACGAGUGAACAAACAAAUUGUGACUUGAUGUGUUAUGUUAAAAAAAGAGGCGAACCAUGUGGGGCCUACCUUAGAGGCAAGGCUCUAUACACUGGAGUACUUUUGAUGUGUCCCAUCAACUCGCGGAACAAGGAGAAGCUUGCUUAGUACGCCGUCUCCCCCAUUCCUAAAUAUAAGUCUUUGUAGAGAUUUCACCAUGAACCACAUGCGGAUGUAUAUAGAUGCAUUUUAAGUGUAGAUUCAUUCAUUUUGUUCCGUAUGUAGUGGAAUCUCUACAAAGACUUAUCUACUAUUAAUAGCUAGCCCCCACUACUAGGAAUUCUCUAUCCUCUCCUUGAGCCACAUCAUCAAAAUUGAUGUAGCCGUUAGAUGAAGUAAAUCAGUCCAUAAUAGCCGUCUGAUCAAGACGUUGAGAGGCUCCGCACUAAGCCACAUGCAAGCAUGCAGAAAUACCGUGGCACAUGCAUGUGAGUGGGUUUUAAAUCACAUCAACAUGUCUGCAUGCAAGCAUGCACCGGUAGCAUGCAUGUAAGUGAGCUUUUAAGUCCCAUUAACAUGUCAAAAAGAAAAAUAUAAUCCCAUUAUGCAGUAGGAGUUGGCUGAUCUUUUUUCCUUACGUGGGAUGAUCUAAAUGAUGAUGCGAGUUUAUUUAGUUUGGCUACCACAUUUGUCAUGCAGUUAGGUGUCACACGGUGAUAGUGUGAGGUGGGCCACGUAAUCACCGAGCCUGCGUGUUUUCACUACUCUUGCAUGCCUCCGCUGUAAGAAUGGAGAAAAUUGUAAUCUAGUAGUAGUACCUCCUUUCGCCGAAAGCGUGGGACAUCCAGCAGUCCUACCACCUCAGUAAUAAAGACCAAUGAGCCGUCAAAUCACAUAGACCCAGCAGUAAGUUGGACAGACGAAGCAACCAUCACUCUUGCGCCAGUGAAAGGUCGUGUCCGCUCUGCCUGGGCAUGAAUGCGGCACCGAUUCUUUGGAGCGGCGUUGUUCGUUUCGGGCGGGAAGCGCGCGGGGGCGAUGGAGGGGCUUUGGGUGGGCCAGGCUGGUCAGGAGCGGGCGUGGCAGCUGUCUGCAUGUCCCUACCGGACACGCCCGGAAACGAGAGGAUGCACCGACUCUCGCGGCUAAAAUCGUACACUACACAACAUCUCUCUGUAGGAGUAGGUCGAUCUGUCGCUCUCUCUAACACACACAUGUUGUUACACACACACACACCCACGCACCUUGGUCCCGUUGCACCUUCUAAUGUGACUUAUUACACCUAGACGGAGGGAGUAGUAAGUAUAUGAGAUACGGUGGCACACUGACUUAAGUCGAAUACAAGUGCCCAAAUUUUGUGUGCAUGUUAUAAUAAGGAUUCACUUAAAAUAGUACGUGAGCGAACAGAGCGAUCAAUUGGACAGUGUUCCCGAGCAGUAGCGAGAUGUGUGAGGUAAGAAACACCGCUGGCGCUUUUAAUUUUUCUUAUUAAUUUGUUUGUUUCACCCUCUGACUGGUGGGACCCAACGUACUACGUGGAGAGAGGUAAGGUGACUAAGGCUGCAUUAUUUCUGCACCACUGUGGAUAGUCUUACCACCAAAGCCACAUGACACGAUUAUGAUUGAAAUCCCAAUGACUCCCACACACACACAAAAAUACGGCAUGCUUUUCACACGAAUGCGGGAAUGUAUAAAAGGUUAUUUCCCUCUCGUUGAACAUAAUGGGAGGGUUGUGUAGCUGGUUAGCCUGUUCGCUCAUCAAACUUGAGCAUAAUUUGUGCCAGGAGGAUUCUGUGACUGGUCAAAAUGUUUUAUAGGGUUUGCACGCUUCACACUCUCUCUCCAGUAUAUAUAUAUACACGCUGGAGCCUCAGCGCUUGUAGUUUCUCUCUUCACACUCUCUCGCCCUCUCCCGAUGGAGCCUCAGCGCUUGUAGUUGCUCUCUUCAUACUCUCUCGCCCUCUCCAGAUCUAAACAAGACUUCGUUGGCCUCUCUCUCCCCUCACUGCUGCUCAAAGAGCCAGCAGGAUCCGUCUGCCGGGAAGGGAAGGAGGCUUAACGUUGUCGCCGUCGGCGAGGGACUACUGGUGCAACUGUUCACUUUCCACCCAGCGGCGGCGCGGGAGGGCCUCCGACCCCUUCUUCUUCGCCGUCGUCUCGUCGCCCACCGAACCACGCCCCAUGAACCUUAAGGUAUAAUUUACUUACUCCACAUGCAUUGCUCUAGCUGCAUGUAUACCAUGAAUCUAGGACAUGGUUCAAAGAGGAAAGGAGUGGGGGAAAGUAGUGGGAAAAGUUGUAUAUAGCAUGAAUCUAGGACGUGGUUCAAAGAGGAAAUGAAGGGAGAAAGUUGUAUAGCAUGAAUCUAGGACGUGGUUCAAAGAGGAAAUGAAGGGGGAAAGUUGUAUAGCAUGAAUCUAGGACGUGGUUCAAAGAGGAAAGGAAGGGGCGAAAGUACUAGUUCAAAAAGGAAAGGAAGGGACAGGGCUGUAGAGUUUGAGCAGGACUAGAUUUGCUGCGCUCACAUAGGGAAAGGUGUCUAAAGAUAAAUAUGCUCCUUGGUUGUUUGUUCUUUGUUGCAACAGACUGUGCAUGACCACAGUACAUCGGUAAAUGCACAUGGUGCUGGUGCGUCCACUGUCCCGUGCAACUCAUUAGCUGUUGUUAAUCUAAGGCCCUAUUUGGUUAAAAACUCCCUAGUCCCUACCUGCUUGGUUCCAGGGACUAAACAUGGACUAGAGGUUAUUAAAUGACAUGCUAAAAGACCAUGUUACCCCUAGUAAUGAACUAAUAGAGACAAGGUGCGAUGCGUGGCAGGGGCAACUGUUGGAAAAAGUCCCAAAAAGACUCCCUCGGGGUCUUCUUUCUUUAGUCCCAAAUGCCCACUUUUAGUCCCUAAAAGUCCCUCAUGUUUGGUUUAGAUGGGACUAACACGGAGAUUUUUUAGUCCCUACACCAAAAUGUCCCUGUAAACAAACACCCUCUAAUAAUGCCGCUGGAAAAUUGAUGCAAUGCCACAGUUAAAAGCAAAUUACAUGUUUAACGAAUUUUAUUGUUAAUAUAAUCUCUAUGUUAAUAUUAAUCAGUGCCGCCGUUUGAGAAAUGCUACUGUCUUGCUUUCUUUCCCAUUUAGAUAAGGUAGAUGCUUCUUUUUGUUGGCUUCUGUGUCAUCCACCGUUAUUGACCACUAAUUGUUUCCUUUAAACCUCUAUGUAAACAGGGUUAUCUACUUGACCUCGUUGCCAUUGUGACCUUUUGUUGCACUUCACAAAACACUUUUGUUUUAAGAGUGAUUUGUGCAGUUCAACCAAAAUGACACACCGACUGUAACAUCCAGAAAUUCUACGCGACUCAAGGACCCACGGAGAGAGUUGGGGAUUUCGUUAUUUUCAUAUUUGGGUUUUUCUCAAAUUUUGAAAAUAGGAUCACUGAUUUUAUUUAUUAUAUCUUCAAUUAUUUCUAUAAUAAAAAUAUGAAGAGGGAAUAAAAUGACUUUCCCAAAAUAAAGAAAUAUUGAAGAUUUAAUAAAAAAUCAAGUAAGAUUUUAUUUCGGAUUUUUCUCGCUAUUUUAUUUGAAUUUAGGAAAAAGUGCACGUUUUCAAAACUGCGUUUUAGGGCCAAGAAAAUGUUCAUCUUGUUCUAAAUAUUGUACUUAGACGGUGAAAAUUUGUUUUGGCAUUUUUAGAUUUUUAUUUAUUUUUCUAGGAUUUUUCUUAGUUCGGCGGGAUUAUUUUAAAAAAAAACCUCGCGCGCCCGACUGGGCCGAAGGCCCAGCCGCUACCGCCUCCUGCAUCCGGAUCGGGACCGGAGUCCCGAACGCCGCCGCCGCCGAGUCCGGGAGGGCCACGCGCCGCCUCAGCCCCUCCCGCAAGCCACCGUCGCCACCCCCUCCCCUUUAUAAACCGACCCGGGCCCCCCUGGAGCCCCAUAGCCGGAGCCGCCGCUGCCACGCCUGCCGCCGCCGAAAUCUCGCCGACGCCGCCGCACCCGGCCACCGCCCCGGUUUUCUAAGAAAAAAAUUGAUUCGUUUUUUUUAGAAAUCCUAAGUUUUUUUAGAUCGUUUUAUCGGUUCUUUUAUUUAGUGAGCGUUCGCUCGUUCGUUCGUUUUAACGAACGCGUUCACCGUUUAGUUCCAGAUGACAAACAUUCGUUCGUUAAUCUGUUCGUCAGUUUUUCUUUUUCUUGGAUUUUUCCGCGAUUAUUUCUGAAUCAGGGGAACAACAACAACAACUGUUGAUCACUUAACCCGUUUUCUUAGGCUGAAUCCGCCGGUGUUCUCCAGUAGCACCGAGCUGAUUGUAGCAGAUGAUUGGCUCCGCAAGAUUGGAAGGGAGUUAACCACUACAGGAUGUACUGAUACUGAGAAGGUGCGCUUUGCCGCACAUCAGUUGGAUGGACCAGCAGCAUCAUGGUGGGAGAAUUACACUGUCACCUACCCUAUAGCCACGGUGACAUGUGACCAAUUUCAGCAGACUUUCCGUACAUCCCAUGUUUCAGCAGGAGCUAUGGCCAUGAAGAAGUGUGAGUUUUGCAACUUGCGCCAAGGAGGACAGACAGUUGGCCAGUAUGUGGAUGACUUUAGUAAGCUAGCACGUUAUGCCCCAGAUGACGUUGCUACAGAUGCAGCUAAGCAGGAGAAGUUUCUGAAAGGACUGAAUGAUGAGUUGAGCAUGCAGUUGAUGGUAGCAAGAUUCAACAACUACCAGGAGUUGGUAGAUCGCGCUCUUAUGAUUGAAGGGAAGCAGCAGCAGAUUGAAAACCGCAGGAGGAAGUAUGGACAAGGGAAGUACAAUUCUGGAGCUCAGCAGAAGCCACGUUUUACCCCUAAACCGGGAGGACAUUUUCAACAUACCCAUGGAGGAGGUAGCUCGCACAAUCAUAAUGGCCCCAAGAAUGGUAAUGGUAAUGGAGGAAGCAACGGCCAGAACUGUACCAACCCAUUGACACCAGCCAAGAGAGACAUGAGCCAAGUCACUUGCUAUAAGUGCCAGAAGACUGGACAUUACGCCAAUGAAUGUCCUGAAGCCCAGAAUGGAAAUGGCAAUGUAAGCUCUGGGAAGAAGCCAAACCCUUUCCAUAGGGGACAGGUGAACCACGUUAACGUGGAGGAGGUUGAAGCUCAGCCAGAUGCAGUAAUAGGUAAGUUUUUGGUUAAGUCAUUUACUGCACUCGUCCUUUUUGAUACUGGUGCAUCGCAUUCAUACAUCUCAAGGGGAUUUGUGGAUAAGUAUAAACUGCCAACCCAAGCCCUUAGGUCACCCAUGUUAGUAACCUCGCCUAGAGCAGAGUAUAUGGCUAGUCUAUGGUGUGAUCGGUUACCAUUAAGGAUUGGUAACUAUGUAUUUCCCUCGGACCUAAUAGUAUUGGAAUCUCAAGGAUUGGAUAUGAUAUUAGGCAUGGAUUGGUUAUCGAAGUAUGGAGGGAACAUUGAAUGCGCUAGUAAGUCAAUUUUGCUUACGACGCCAGAAGGAAGACGGAUCAAGUAUGUAUCCCGGCAUGCGCCGAAGAGGACUCAAGUAAAUUCCUUAUCAGGAGUUAUGCAGGAGGAAGUAAUAGUGGUGAAGGAUUUCCCUGGCGUAUUUCCAGAGGAGUUGCCAGGCAUGCCACCGGAUAGAGAUAUUGAGUUUUUGAUUGAGCUUAGCCAGGCACAGGGCCAAUAUCUAAGAGACCAUACAGGAUGCCCGCAAAAGAUUUGGAGGAGAUUAAGAAGCAGAUUAAGGAGUUACUGGAUAAAGGUUAUAUUCGCCCAAGUUCUUCGCCUUGGGGAUCGCCAGUACUUCUAGUGGAGAAGAAGGAUGGAUCGUUAAGGAUGGUUGUUGAUUAUCGAGGAUUGAAUGAAGUAACAAUCAAGAACAAGUACCCACUGCCGAUGAUCAAUGAUCUGUUUGAUCGAUUGCAAGGAGCUAAGGUAUUUUCCAAGAUCGAUCUGCGAUCAGGAUACCAUCAGUUAAAAAUUUGAGAGCGGGAUAUACCUAAGACGGCUUUUACCACCAGGUAUGGGCUAUACGAGUAUACCGUUAUGUCAUUUGGUCUGACUAACGCGCCUGCAUAUUUCAUGAACAUGAUGAACAAGGUGUUUAUGGAGUUUUUGGAUAAGUUCGUCGUGGUGUUCAUUGAUGAUAUUUUGGUCUACUCAAAGAAUGAAGAGGAGCAUAAGGAGCAUUUGCGUUUGGUACUUGAGAAGAUCAGAGAACAUCAAUUAUAUGCCAAGUUCAGCAAAUGUGAGUUUUGGUUGAAGGAAGUUGGAUUCCUCGAACACGUUAUAUCCGGAGAAGGUAUAGCAGUAGAUCCCACCAAGGUUGUCACUGUCACAAAUUGGGAAGCACCAACAAUAGUUGGAGAGAUUCGGAGUUUUCUUGGACUUGCAGGAUAUUACCGGAGGUUCAUAGAGAAUUUCUCAAAAAUUGUGAAGCCUAUGACGGAGUUGUUGAAGAAGGAUACCAAGUUCAAAUGGACUGAGGAAUGUGAGGCCAGUUUCCAGGAAUUGAAGAAACGUUUGGUUACCUCGCCAGUGUUGAUUCUGCCAGAUCAGCGGAAGGAUUACGAGGUAUAUUGCGACGCUUCAUGUCGAGGACUUGGAGCAGUGCUUAUGCAGGAGGGAAGAGUUGUUUCGUAUGCUUCACGACAUCUGAAACCUCAUGAGUUGAAUUAUGCCACGCAUGAUUUGGAGUUAGCAGCCGUAGUGCAUGCAUUGAAGACUUGGAGACAUUUUCUCAUUAGAAACCAUUGUGAAGUAUACACGGAUCACAAGAGUUUGAAGUAUAUUUUCACGCAGAAGGAGCUAAAUCUCAGGUAAAGGAGAUGGUUGGAGCUCAUCAAGGAUUAUGAUAUGAGAUUGCAUUAUCAUCCCGGAAAGGCUAACAUAGUAGCAGAUGCGCUGAGCCGUAAGAGCCAUGUCAACACACUAAUGACGAGAGAUUUACCGAAGGAGUUAGCCAAAGACCUUCGUGAGCUAUGUUUGGAGAUAGUUCUGAGAGGCUAUGUAGCAGCAUUGGAGAUUCAGUCUACUUUGAUGGAUAAGAUCAGAGAAGCUCAGAAGACUAACAAGGAGGUUGCCUCUAUAAAGGAGAAGAUGAGCAAAGAAAAAGUUAAAGGAUUUCGUGAGGAUGAGCACGAUACCCUAUGGUUUGAAGACCGUGUUUACGUGCCUAACGACCCGGAGAUCAGGAAGUUGAUUCUGCAGGAGGCCCAUGAUUCACCAUAUUCGAUUCACCCAGGAAAUACCAAGAUGUAUUUGGAUUUGAAGGAUACUUUCUGGUGGACCGGAAUGAAGAAGGAUAUUGCAGAGUAUGUAGUAGUUUGUGAUGUAUGUCAGAGAGUAAAGGCAGAGCAUCAGAAGCCAACAGGAUUGCUACAACCAUUGCCGAUACCCAAAUGGAAGUGGGAUAAGCUAGGUAUGGAUUUUAUCACGGGAUUACCCAGGACCCGUUCAGGCUAUGACUUGAUAUGGGUUGUAGUCGAUCGCUUGACGAAGGUAGCUCAUUUCAUCCCAGUAAAGACCACUUACACCAGUGCUAAGUUGGCGAAGAUAUACAUGACCAGGAUCGUAUGUCUGCAUGGAGUCCCGAGGAGCAUUGUAUCUGAUAGAGGAACAUAGUUUACCUCAAAGUUAUGGAAUCGGUUGCACAAAACUUUGGGUACUAGACUAGAGUUCAGUAUAGCUUUUCAUCCGCAGACAGAUGGACAGACCGAGAGAGUCAAUCAGAUCUUGGAGGAUAUGCUGAGAGCUUGUGCGCUAGAUUAUGGAUCUAGUUGGGACGACAAUUUGCCAUAUGCAGAGUUCUCUUAUAACAACAGUUAUCAAUCCAGUUUGAAGAUGGCCCCUUUCGAAGCCUUGUACGGAAGAAGGUGCAGAACACCAUUUUCGUGGGAUGAAGUUGGAGACCGCCAGUUGUUUGGACCAGAUUUGAUUAAGGAGUCUGAACAGAAAGUGAAAUUGAUUCGCAAUAGGCUCAAGGUAGCCCAGUCCAGGCAGAAGAGCUACACGGAUUCUAAACGCAAGGAUAUGGUUUACGAAGUCGGAGACCGAGUUUAUCUUCGAGUAUCUCCACUUCGGGGAGUUAAGCGCUUUGGAGUUAAGGGAAAGUUAGCACCACGUUUUGUGGGACCAUACAAAGUUUCGGAACGUAUGGGAGAAGUUGCCUACAAGUUGGAGUUGCCCGAAGGAUUGUCAGGAGUUCACGAUGUGUUCCACGUUUCCCAAUUGAAGAAGUGCCAUGCAGAGAUGGCUGAUAUACCACUAAGAGAUACAGUACCGCUGGAAGCAAUUCAGUUGGAUAGUGAUUUGACCUAUGAGGAGAAACCAGUCAAGAUUCUCGAGUAUGCCAGCCGAGUCACCCGCGGCAAGGUUAUCAAGUUUUGCAAAGUUCAGUGGAGCCACCACACCGAGGAUGAAACCACCUGGGAGCGAGAGGAAGAACUGCUGAAGGACCACCCUCACCUAUUUUCUAGCCAACCCGAAUCUCGAGGGCGAGAUUCAUCUUAAGGGGGGUAGGUUUGUAACAUCCCAAAUUUUCAAUUUAGAAUGUUAUACAUUCGGUCAUCACUGCAUAUCAUAUUUUAUUUGUUUGGCCUGAUCCAGAAAUUCUACGCGACUCAAGGACCCACAGAGAAAGUUGGGGAUUUCGUUAUUUUCAUAUUUGGGUUUUUCUCAAAUUUUGAAAAUAAGAUCAUUGAUUUUAUUUAUUAUAUCUUCAAUUAUUUCUAUAAUAAAAAUAUGAGAGAGGGAAUAAAAUGACUUUCCCAAAAUAAAGAAAUAUUGAAGAUUUAAUAAAAAAUCAAGUAAGAUUUUAUUUCGGAUUUUUCUCGCUAUUUUAUUUGAAUUUAGGAAAAAGUGCACAUUUUCAAAACUGCAUUUUAGGGCCAAGAAAAUGUUCAUCUUGUUCUAAAUAUUGUAUUUAGACGGUGAAAAUUUGUUUUGGCAUUUUUAGAUUUUUAUUUAUUUUUCUAGGAUUUUUCUUAGUUCGGCGGGAUUAUUUUUUAAAAAAAACCUCACGUGCCCGACUGGGCCGAAGGCCCAGCCGCUACCGCCUCCUGCAUCCGGAUCAGNNNNNNNNNNNNNNNNNNNNNNNNNNNNNNNNNNNNNNNNNNNNNNNNNNNNNNNNNNNNNNNNNNNNNNNNNNNNNNNNNNNNNNNNNNNNNNNNNNNNNNNNNNNNNNNNNNNNNNNNNNNNNNNNNNNNNNNNNNNNNNNNNNNNNNNNNNNNNNNNNNNNNNNNNNNNNNNNNNNNNNNNNNNNNNNNNNNNNNNNNNNNNNNNNNNNNNNNNNNNNNNNNNNNCGCCGCUGCCGCGCCUGCCGCCGCCGAAACCCCACCGACGCCGCCGCACCCGGCCACCGCCCCGGUUUUCUAAGAAAAAAUCGAUUCGGUUUUUUUAGAAAAUCCUAAGUUUUUUUAGAUCGGUUUUAUCGGUUUUUUUAUUUAGCGAGCGUUCGCUCGUUCGUUCGUUUUAACGAACGCGUUCACCGUUUAGUUCCAGAUAACAAACAUUCGUUCGUUAAUCUGUUCGUCAGUUUUUCUUUUUCUCGGAUUUUUCCGUGAUUAUUUCUGAUCGCGAUUUUCAUUUUAGUUUAUCUUUUCGCUCGUUUGUCGGAAUUAGGCGAUUCAAGCGCCUGGAGUUUCGUCUCGAAACCCUCUUUCCGUUUAACCAACUCAAACAAGUUUUUGCAUCUGUAAAACUUGACUUAGAUCCAGAUUAGUAAAUGAAGUUGGUUUCUUUCGCCGUUUGACUUUCGUUGCUUCGUUUGAUUUGAUUCUUUUUGCAAACCGGAGUUCUUAAGUUGAACUUUCUGGUUAGAUCUCUUAUUUGAGUUUUACGCGUGCAUUAGAUGAGUACUUAUUGUAUGCUUGUUUGUUUGCGAUAGAGUACCCGGAGUGCGCCGCUUGCUACUUUGAACCUCUAGGUUUCGAUGAUCAUCAGCAAGGCAAGUAACACUUUGAUCAUACCUCUUUACUACCCAGUUUUAUUGCAUUAGAUCAAUCCUCAAACAAUUGCAUGAGUAGGAUCUGAUUAAUAUGUGGGUUUUGGGAAGUAGAUGAAGUAGUACCUAUUACCUGUUUUAUUAUCAAACCCUUGGGAGUUACUUCUACAUUUGCUUAUUUUGCCAUGCUAUGCUAGUAGACGUGGAUUGGGUGAGUGUAUCCAUGACAGAUGUGAGAUUGUUAAAUUAAUGGUUUAUUUAAGGUGGCAACUUAAACACACAUCUAGGUGGACUGAGGCACCUGGGUAUUCCAGCGAUUGCCUGUUUUUCUUUAUGGACCGCCACUCAGGCUCAAAGGGAUCAUGAUAUUAUUCAUACUAGAAACUUCCGUGUGCAGCCACAAGCUACUAUGGGCUCUAGCAUAGUUGACUAAGUCGUGCGAACUCUUACAGUGGUAGACUAGCAGAUGUAGGGGAUGUAGAUUGGUACUGUCUACCCGAUCGUAAGGUGCUAGCGCUUCUGAAAGACUAUGUCUCGGUCAUCCGUUUCUCAAACACCAUGUAGUGCGAGAAUCCCAAUGGAGGAGAUUGAGUCUUGUGGGGAAAAGUGCGCAAACCUCUACAGAGUGUAUAAACUAAUCAUGGUUAGUCGUGUCCCCGGUUAUGGACAUCUUGAGUAUCUAGUACUUGGAUUAUCAUGUGAAUCUCAUCAUGUUACUUUAAUUAAUAUUAUUGGGUUUUAAUGUUGAUACUUAAUUGGGAUUGAGAGGAUGUCUAUCUUCUCAAUGUUUAACAACCACCAUGAUAGUUAAAUAAAAUUUAUUCCUUUGCAGUAGGGAAAAAUUGGCUUUAUGCAAAAACUGUAACCAUAGAGCUUUCCACCAGCCAUAUAUGCAUAUAGUAUAGCUUUAUUCUUUCAUUACUCUCUUACAUUGCCAGCAUAUUCCAUGUGCUGACCCGUUUUCGGGCUGCAACGUUCAUGUUGCAGACUUUUCAGACGAUGAGUAAGGUGCCUUUAGGUCGUGGUUCUAUACUCAGUGAUGCCGUUGGAGUUGAUGGACUCACUUAUCUUCCAAGCCUUCCGCUGUUAUCAUUAUUAGAUGGCCUUAAGCCAUAUUUAUUGUAAUAAGCUCUCUUUUGAGACAGUCGAUGUAAUAAGUGUGUGAUUGCUACUCUGUUAUAAAUCCUUCAAGUACUGUGCGUGUCAGCAUUACUGAUCUAGGGAUGACACUAAAGCACAGAGAUCGGACUGUUUGAGGUCUGGUCGCUACACCGACAAUGUUGCUUGAUUGCUUGAUCUUAGUGGAACUGCACAAGAGGAAAUCUUACUUCCUAUCCAUUAAGGCGAAUUUGGUUCAGAUCUUCUUCUUGUGAGUUGUUUGAAUUCCGCAUCAUGAGAGGUCAGUACUAGCCUUCUUUCACAUGAUUCUGCAGUGUGCUUUCAUAUGUUGUGGUACUUGUACGAUAAUGUUGCUUGAUUUUAGUGAACUGCACAAAUGGAGACAAGACUUCCAAUCUGUAUGUGCACCGUAAUAUCCCAUUGAGGUAAGAUAAGGAUAUUUCACAACUGAUGUCCUGUAUUUUGCCACUUUCAUCGGAAAAUUAAGUUUAGUACUAUACUUGUGCUCCCUAAUUGACAUGCCAAAUCUUACAUUGAAGGCGAAGCUUGUUUGUUAUUGAACCAAGUGAUGAAUGGGAAGAACAAGCGGAAGAAAAACAAAAAUCAACUCCCGGUGUUGUAAUGAAGCACUGGAACUGUGAUGACACAAGUAAUGAUAUAGUUUUGCAUCUUAAUUUAUUGCUAUGGCUGGAACGAGCAAUUGUUUUGCCACUGAUUUGAUGCCACUCUUAAUGUAAUAUGUAAUUAUCUCUACUUGUGCAAACAGGGAUCUUCUUUGAAGAUACCAUAUAUUUUAGUGGAACUACACAAGAAGAUGUUGGAAAAGUUAAACUAAUCGAGGAGUAUAUAGUAAGCAUGGCCACCACCGUAGAUAGCAACAGAUGGUUCCGGUGAAGUGCUUCAUCUGUAUGCUCUACACAAUAAGCCUCCUGACAAAGGUUGGUACUCGCCCACUGAUUUCAUCCAUAUGAUUGAGCUUUGUCAUCUAUAUUGGUGUUGUGCUACUGUUUAGAUACUGUCAUGAAAAAGUGGUAUUGUCCUUGAUAAGUGCUUCAUCUAUGUUGUUUUAAAUAUUUCCAUUCCUUUUUUCGAGCAAAUAGGGAUGCUAGCAUUUAGUAGUCCUCUUGUAUUUGCACAACAGGAUCAUCUUCCUCUGAAGAAGAAUAUGGAGUACGUGAAGUGACUAGUUCCGAUUAUGCCAGGAUGAAGAAGCCCUAUCUAUCUUCUCAUCAGAAGGAGAAGUUGAAGGAUGGUUACAUUACUCCCCACAAGACCAAACUAACUUUAGCUCAGAAGGACUGACAAAUCUCCAUUUUUUUGCUGUGAUGCGCGAGUACAAUGUUGUUCUAGGAUUCUUCCUGGUGAGUUCCAUUUUUCUAAAAGUGUGCUCUACAUGGACCAUGUAUGUGCCUGUUGAAACUGGCAAUUCAUAGUACAGUUUGCUUUAUACAAAUCACUUUUUUGUAUUUGUGCAAACAGGGGUGCUCAGCUUGAUUUCAAUGGGAACUGCACAAAAUGUUCAUGAAUACAUCGAAUCAUUCAUUUCCACCACAAGAAAGGAGGUGCCGAUAAGUUCAAGGCGUUGCAACAUAUAAGGGCGAAAUCAUACAAGCUACACGCGAAUUUGGUUGAUUUUGGUGGAACUGCACAAAAAGAACAGCUGGUUUAUUUAGCACGAGGUGCCAUGUCAAUGUCUGAACUGAUGGCAAACCCUGCCCAUUCCACAAUCGUAGGCAUUUGAUAUUUUGGAAUGGGACAACCUUGUCAAAUUUUGCUCAUUGAUUUUAGCAAGACAUGCGUUUGAUAUUUUCGAAUGGGACGCCCUUUGCUGUCAGCAGUGUUGAUCAAUUUUUUCUUUAUUCUUUAGUUGUGAAGUAAAUAUUGCCUCUGACAUAUGAGUCGCUGAGAUGCAUAAUCAUCGAUUGUUUUGAAUGUUCUCUAUGAAUUGCCAGGCCUGUGUGUUUGAUUGCAAUGUACAGAGACACUAAAAAGCUGCUCAAACUCUUUGUACUCCUUCUGUUCCUUUUUACUUCGCACAUUGUGAAAGUGCAUACUUUUUUGUAUAAGAUUGGUCGAAGUAGAGAUACUUUGACUGCAGACAAAACUUGUAUGCAGACUAGAAAUGACCGGAGGGAGUACAUGUCAAACUGCUGCAAACGAGGUGAUCACCCUGGGAAUAAUGCUAGUACAUAUUGUUUUGCAUGUUCAUCCAAUGCCAGUGAUACAGGAAUUCGAACUAAUUGAAAUAAAUUCAUUCAUAGACGGUCGGAUUUCAUAUAAACAUGCUGGAUUUCAUUACAUUUCAUACAUUCUUCAACUAAAAAGGGGUGCGCUGGAGGUAUAAUUAAUUAACCGAAGCUACCCACCUGUGUCCCGCUGAGGUGAACAGAAGCUUCAGUGACUUAACUGCAGGUGCAGUUGCGUAACUGACAUGUGGCCUGUUGGGCCCACGUGUCAGUCAGCUAACUGCACCAGCGGUUAAGUAGAAGCAGCGUUCUUCUCCAGCGCAACUCUCUGACUCCACGUCACCGCGAAGAAGCUAACCGGCCGUCAAUGGUCAACCCGCCUAGCUUGGCUUCAACCGGAGGGUAGCAGCGGUGGCCUUACUUGGACCCGAGCGGCGGCGACCUACCGUGUUCUACUCUUCCUCAUUUUCCGUGUGGUGCGGCCUCGUUGGCAGCGGUGCGGGGCCUCGGCAGAGCUGGCGAUGUCCUCUGUCUCGUUGCCGGCAGGGUGGGGCCUCGGCUGAGCCGACAAUGUCCUCUGCCUCGUUGUUGGUGGGGCGGGGCCUCGGCGGAGCCGGUGAUGUCCUCUGUCUCGUUGCCGGCAGGGUGGGGCCUCGGCUGAGCUGACGAUGUCCUCUGCCUCGUUGUUGGCAGGGAGGGGCCUCGGCGGAGCCGGCGGUGUCCUCUGCCUCGUUGUUGGCGCCACGGGGCCUCGGCGGAGCAGGGCGUCGUCGACGCCAGCGGAGCGGGGACUCGUCGGAGCCGGCAUUGUCCUCUGCCUCGUCAUCGGCCUUGCCAAAUAGCGCCUCGCCCACUUCAUCGCCCUCUUUGCUAGCCUCUUUGUAGGCGGCCGCAGCCUCCGCCACCUGCAUGCGGUACCGCCAGCGCUCGAGGCGGCCCUUGCGGGCGGAGCCGUACGAGUCGAGCAGUGCCUCCUGCUCCGCCCGCUCCACGGUGAUCUACUCCUCCGCCUGCAGGUGCUCCUGGAGGAGAUGGUGGUUGUAGGCGGCGUCGGCCUGCGCCUCCCGGAACUGCUCCUCACGCAUCUGCCUCACCCUGUCCAUAUAUUGGGCAUGGGCCUCGCCGAUGUUCAUGGUGCAAUGCACCGGCGAGGAUGGCGUGGAGGAGGGGGUUGGUGCCGGAUCGUCGACUACCAUGUUCUCCAUUGGGACGUCGUUGUCCUCCGGCUGCCUGCCGGCCAGCCGGUCGGCAGCAAUGGCUGCCAUCUCCUUGUGGUCCGUCGUCCGCCCGCCCCGAAGAGCGCUGGAGCGCGAGGAAGCCAUGGUGGGCAGUAGUGGUGUGGACAGGAGAAAGGGAACGGAUGCGGAUGACUGCGGCUAUGGCCGGCGCAGCAGUUUAUAUAGCAAUGGUGGGCUGGCGGAGGGACAGACGUGUGGCGCCGGAGUAGCCGCCUCGGCAACCGCGCAUCAUUAAUGUGGGCAGCAGAUAGACGGACGGAUGGCACUUGUGUCGUUUGAAGGCGGAGCAAUCGCCUGCACCGGGAAGCGGGGCAGGCGGCGCUGACUGUUUCGGGCGGAAAGCGCGCGCGAGCAAGGAGAUGACUUUACUUGGAGAGGAUGACAAUGGGGAUCCACCAAGUCCAUAGCCUCACGUACGCAAGUGCCUUAUAUAUAUAUAUAUAUAUAUAUAUAUAUAUAUAUAUAUAUAUAUAUAUAUAUAGGGUGGAUCUAUUAUGAUAACACCCUUAAGACCCUUAUUCUACACAUCCCUCACCUUAUUCUGAUAACACCCGAUCAGACGCCCACCCACGAAGGAAAAAACCCAACCCCCACCUUAUCUUGAAACCAGCCCACUCCGCUCUCUCCCCGUGCUCCCCACGACCUCCUCCUGCCAGCCUGUCGCCGCCCCACCUCCCGCCCCAUGUUCCACACGCACCGCCGCCGCCCCGCAUCUCGGCGCGCAUCGCCGCCCUACCUCCCUUCCUCGCCGCCGCACCGCCACCCCACCACAUCCCACCGCGCCGCCACCCAAAACCACUGCUGCGCCGCCCCUCCCUAGGCCGCCGCCCAGAUGACCUCCUUCAGCUCCACGGUGCCCGGAUCCACAGCCCCCCGCCCCGGUGACCUCCUUCUGCGCUGUGUCAGCCGGAUCUAGAGCCCCCAGGAGAUCUUCUUUUGCGUCGCCGCUGCUGGAUCCAUUUGAUCUCCUGCUGUGUCGCCACAGGCCCCAUGCCUCCUACGCCACCAACCACCAACUGGCGGGUGUUGCUCCCCAGAUCCGCCCCACCUCUCUUGCCUUGGUCGAUCUACAGGGAGGGGUUGAUGGCCACGCGCUGCAACAGCCUCCGUCAAGGACAGUGAGCCUCCCUCCCCCACCCCAAGGCAUUAACUAGCUCCACGCGACUCACCCUCCCCUCUUCUUCUCUGCCUCGAUCACACAUGGAGGGGUGAGGGGCGGCGCGGCUCGGCAGGCUCAAUGGCUGACUCUGCCCGUGGGCGUGCAGUUCUGCCCACGCGGGCGUGCAUCUCAACCAACGGGGCCUUGCAGUUCGGCCCACGGCACUGACAGCUUCCGGCGAACUCUCGCUUGUACGGUGGCGAGACGUGCAGUUCAAUCGCCUGGGCGAGCGGUUCGGCGGCCGUAUGGUUGCGGUGCAGUGCGCCAUCAUGGACGACGAUUCGGCGGCCAUCGUGCGCGCGGCCUCCCCCCAGCCGCCGUGCGCAACUGCUCCCCUUCGCGGGCCCAGGCGCGCCGACGCGCCCCUUUGACUUCUGUGCGCCUACCUCCACAACAUGCAGCGGUCGCCGGCGAGCGGUGUCGCCAUGGCUCUUGCUCGCAUUUUCUCCCUGGUUGAAGUUCAUUUGAAUUUUUUUGAAGCCCGCUCGAUUUUGUUCUCCAGUUCACCGUGAGAUCCAUGGUGCUGGCCAUGCCACGCCUUCUCCUGCUGCUCCAUCUAAGCCGAGGACGGGCUCUGCCGCGCCAGGAAACAGGGUCUAAUUCCCCAACAACAAAAGUUGCAGUGCGUAUGACUGAUAGUUUGGAUGGUUUUUCUUUUUGUAAAAAAGUUAAGUGCAAUGCGGUUUAGUUAACUCAUUUUUACGGGAGAAGACGAAGAUAAAGUGCACUGUACAUGUUUUGUUAAGCCUAAUAACAAGUUGAAUUGCACGUCUAGGUUCUAGAAAAAAAAGGUGCAGUGCACUGGUCUCACCCGGUAGUCCAUAUUUUUUCACUUUCGAGGUUCACUACUCACGUUCGGGGCAGCUCGCUAUAUUUUUGUUUUGUUUUGGGGUGUUUAUACAGAAAGGCGAGAUUUAGUUUGUAAUUAUUUAAAGAAAUCCCAUGUAAUUCAUUGUAUGAAGACUUGUGGUUUUCUAUGUAAAAAGAAAAGGAAAACAAACAAUGCAGUACACUAGCCUCGAGGGUGCGGUCCGAAUGCAUUUGUAAAAAGAAAGUAAAGAAGUAAAAAAAACUAAUGCAGUUCUCUUGCCUCAUCACGUAAUUCAAAAAACACGAGAAAAAUCUUGUUUUAGGAGUUCACUCAUGCGGUUCAUUUUCGGCAGUGUGGUGGUUCAUUUUCGGUAGUGUGGCGGUUCACUUAUGCCCAACAAAAAAAAUCAUGAAGUUUGCUUGACUAUUUGAUGAAGUGCAGUUUUUAGUCUAAAAAAGUGCGGUUUGCUACCUCGUUUGGGAAAAUUUACGUCACAUAAAAAAAUCAUGCAGUGCACUUGUCCGUCUGAUGAAAUGCGGGUUUUAGUCUAAAGAAGUGCGAUUUGCUAUCUCGUUUGGGAAAAUUUAUGUCCCACAAAAAAAAUCAUGCAGUGCACUUGUCGGUCUGAUGAAGUGCGGUGCCGUGGCCCGUUUACGGUAGUCUCGAGGUUCCCUUUUCAUACUAUUGCGGUUCCCCAACGCUCGACAUGAAGUGCACUUCACCUCGUUUGAAAAAAUUUACGUCACACAAAAAAGAAAUCAUGCAGUGUACUUGUUCGUUUGAUGAAGUGCGGUUGUUAGUCUGAAGCAGUGCGGUUUUCUGACUGAUGCAGUACAUACGACGAUUUUGGUGUCGCAAAAAAACAGAGUGUCCGCAUUUCGGUAAAUUUAAAACUGCACUUAAACUAUAAGGAAUUAGAGAGAGUGUUCUACAUGAAAAAGUUGCGUCUCGUCGAUAUCUUUCCAACGGCAUAUCAUUUGAAUCAUUUCGACAACCGGUUUGUAAAAAAUUCGCGAAAAACGGUUGCUGCCACUCGUCGUCCCCCGCAUGAUUUUCAAAAUUAACUUAAAACUGUAAGGAAUCUCAAAACCAUUUCUGCAUAUGAAAGUUGCGCCUUGUCCAUAGAUUUCCAACGACAUAUUACACGCCUUGUUUCGACAAACGGUUAGAAAACUGGAGCGAAAACAGUAACGAAAAUUUGAAAUUUUUUUUAAAAACAGAAUUCCGCGAUUUAGUAAAUUUGAAACUGCUCUUAAACUGUAACGAAUUAGAGAAAAUAAUAGUUAUGAAAAAGAUGCGCCUCGACGAUAUCUAUCCAAUGGUGUAUCGUUUGCUUCAUUCCAACGAGCGGUUUAGAAAAAACGCGAAAAAACGCUCGCUGCCACUCGUCAUGGGCUGCACCAUUUUGAAAACUGCUCUUAAACCGUGAGGAAUCUCGAAAAGUGUUCAACAUGGCGAAGUUGCGCAUAAUCCAUAGCUUUCCAACGGUAUAUUAUAUGCCUCGUUCCGAUAAACGGUUAAAAAACUAGAGCAAAAAGAGUACCGAAAAAACACUGCAUACAGUUUUUUACGACACGAAGUUCACUAGUCUCUGUAAUGCAGUGCUCUAGAUAAAGAAAGUGUAGUGCCCUCGCGUUGAGCAUGCAGUGCGGAAGUGUUAUCAGAAUAGUUAUUCUAAUAAUAUUAUCAUAAUAGACCGUCUGUGUGUGUGUGUGUGUGUGUGUGUGUGUGUGUGUGUGUGUGUAUAUAUAUAUAUAUAUAUAUUUGCUUCCUCCUGGUUUCCUGACAUCAUGGUCCCACACCAUUGUCAACCUAUGUAGUAUAGUCAAUAAACGAGAGAAUUGCACAAGAAGCGGCCGAUAGCUGGGACCAAGCAACUCGAGCAGUAUUUGUGUUUUUUAGGUGUGAGUACUGCAGAGUUUUCCGAUGUUUAGCUCAGAUAUUAAUGUUUCUCCUCUGAACAACAACGAAAACAUCGCUGCAGGUAUUAACUGGGCGGGCUGUGGCCCGUCUAGCCCAGGCCAGAUAUCCAGCCCAAAUAUUAAAUUUUUUCAAGCUGAAAAUGGCUAGCCCAGCUAUACUUUUUUUUAGGAAUAUCCAGGCAAGGUCAAGUUGUUAUUCUCCACCCCGCUGGGCUGCAAAUCUUUCCUAGAAGGGAUGCAUUAGGCUUAACAAGAAAAUGGGCUUUAAGAAAUAAUAAAUGUGAUGUAAUUAUAAAAAUUGGGUAGUAACUAUAAAAAAUGCACCAAACACGUGAUUACUUUAUAAAAUAUUAUUUUUGGGUAUUGAAAAUUUUAAUUUCAUUAAUUGUCACGAGCACAAUGUUUCGUUGAAUUUUUACGUAAUAUAAAUUUAUAUUAAAAUUGUAUUUAAUCUGACUAGAAAUUUCGGAAUAAAAAUAUUUUGGAUCCCAUCAAAAUGUGGGAAAUUUUACUGAAUUCUGUUUUGAACGGUUGGUUGAAAUGGGUUGUACUUUUAACAAACUGUAAACGGGCUGUAGUAAAUUCCAUUAGAAUUCAAAAAUGGGCUACACAUUCUUACAAAUCUCAAAUGGGCUAUAAGUUCUCUGCCACACACUUCUGGCCUUACUAAGUUGAUGUGUUUCCUAAAAAAACAGAGUUGACGCGUAUGCAAGGCUUUGUCAACUUAUAGUCAACACACGCUAGCAGCAGUGGCCGUUGGAUGUCCAUCCAACGGAUACCGUGCUUCUUCUUCAAUCUCGGAUAUUCUAGCUUCACCCGCCCAAAAAAUGAUUCCUCCCCCUUACAUCUGGGGCGCACCGUUUCGGAAGCUGACCUGUGGGCCUACUAAGUUGACGUACCAAGGGCUUUGUCAACUUAGUCAAUAUAAACGAUUCUAGCUGCAGUGACCGUACGAUGUCCAUCCAACGGCCGUCGUGCUUCUUCAACCUCUGGUUUUCUUGCUUCAGCCGCCCAAAGCAGCGCCGAUCGUGCCGCCUGCUCGUGCCUCCCGUGGCCGGCUAUGCUGCCGCGGAGGCCUCACCACCCCCUACUACUCCCACCGCUGGCCAGGUCAUCCCUCCACUCACCCACACCCCCUGUUAUUCUGCGGUGACGACAGCGCAGCCGAACCAGUAAACCCUCGUACUCCUCUCCGUAUGUGCAUCCACUGCCGCGUCUUCCCCGGCUCCGCGUCGUCCCCUUCCUAGGCCUCGCCGUCGUCCACCGCCCUGGUGCUCUCGGCACGGCGUGGUCAACAUGGUCAAGAAACGACUUCCAUCGGACGUGGACUGUAUGUGGAGAGGCUGACAGUUGGGUCCACGACAGCCGCAAGGAAGUGCCUCCUUAUUACACGCAAAAUAAUUAUUCCUCCACCUGACAGCGAGGACCCAUCGGAUAGGCCACCGUAUUUCGCGAAAAAAAUGAUUCGCCCCCUGACUGCUGGGACCCAUUAGUUACAUCUUCGCAUGCAAGGAAGUGCAUCCGGAAAAAAAACGAUUCGCCCCCCUGACUGCUGGGACCCACCAGCUACAUCUUCGCACGCAAGGAAGUGCCUGAUAGUCGGGACCCACCUAGUCGAAGCGUAUGUAGCAUUGUCAUUCUUGUCGCGAACGUGUACAUACAUAUAUACUGGUGGAUGUAGAGGCGUGCACGUGUCGUAGUAGAGGCGUGCACAUAGCAUGUACACGUACGUACAGCGGCCAGGGUGCAAGAAAGAAAAUACGGCCACGUAUGUGUACAUACGGGCGGAGUCUUGAACGCCUACUCGCGCAUACGUACGGCCAGGGCUCGUGUACAUGACUGGGUCGGAACGGAGAAACAGCGUCGUCGUCGUGUUCAUGGGGAGGCAACGGAAUGCGUUGUGUUCGUGGGGAGGCAACGGAAUGCGUCGUGUUCAUCGGGAGGCAACGGAACGUGUGGGAGCCAACCGGCUGGGUCAGAACGUAAUGUGUGGUCGUGUUCAUCGGGAGGGCUUGGACGGAACAUGCGAUGGAAACGAAGCCUGGCGUACCGCAAAACGGAGGAAACAGACCUCCUACGUUCGGAACGGGGUCCUGUUGAUCGGGAGGGGUGCAGCGUACCGCAAAGGAAACGGACCUCCUACGGUCGAAACGGGGGUCCUGUUGAUCGGGAGGGGUGUGGCGUACCGCAAAACGGACGAAACGGACCUCCUACGGUCGAAACGGGGGUCCUAUUGAUCGGGAGGGAUGUGGCGUACCGCAAAACGGAUGAAACGGACCUCCUACGGUCGAAACGGGGGUCAUGUUCAUCGGGAGGGGUGUGACGUACCGCAAAACGGGACUCCACGGGAUACUAUUCAUCUCCACCGUCGACCUCCUCCAGCCUCCACGGGCUCCUGUUCAUCCAGCCUCCACCGUGCGCUACUCCACCGGCUACUGUUCAACCACCCCUCCACCGUCUACUGUUCGUCCAGCCCUCCACACCAUGGGGUCCUGUUCAACUUACCCUCCGCAGGCACCCCUCCACCGUAUACUGUUCAUCCAGCCCUCCACCACACCACNNNNNNNNNNNNNNNNNNNNNNNNNNNNNNNNNNNNNNNNNNNNNNNNNNNNNNNNNNNNNNNNNNNNNNNNNNNNNNNNNNNNNNNNNNNNNNNNNNNNNNNNNNNNNNNNNNNNNNNNNNNNNNNNNNNNNNNNNNNNNNNNNNNNNNNNNNNNNNNNNNNNNNNNNNNNNNNNNNNNNNNNNNNNNNNNNNNNNNNNNNNNNNNNNNNNNNNNNNNNNNNNNNNNNNCACUGUUCAUCCAAUCGACCAGCUUCAGUUAGCAGCAGUAGCGAAGGAAUCGCUCGAUCGGGUUUAGUUAACAGCCAUCGAUCGAUCGCUCGGGUUCAGUAACGCGUAGCCUGCAGUGCAAUCGCUCGGGUUCAGUUAGAGCCCAACGCAUCGCUCGGGUUCAGUUAGAGCCAACGCCUCGCACACACGCGCGUACGUGUACGAGAGAAACGCGCAUCGCUCGGCCCCCUGACCUCCCACCGUAACUGGGAACUCCUCGAAAUUUUCCUCCCCCUCGCUUCUACCACGGGUUUUUUCGUCAUGGACGGCCCAAAGAAUGUCAUGCAGCUGCGUCUCCGGCCCGCCCAGGAUGAAAAGCCCAUUUUCUGUCAUGAUUUUUUGUCAUAGAAGUAGGAGCCCACCACAUCUAUGAUGAUACCGGGUUUUGUCACAAUUAUCGUCAUAGAAGUGUCAUAUGUAUGACAGAAAAAAAUUCGUUCGGCCCAAAAUGUCACGGAUGUGCCUUUUUUUUGUAGUGUCCUCCACUCCUUUAUAUAUGGGGAAGGGGCACCCCAUAGACACACAAGUUGAUCAUUGAUCUCUUAGCCGUGUGCGGUGCCCCCUCCACCAUAAUCCACCUCGGUCAUAUUGUAGCGGUGCUUAGGCGAAGCCCUGUUCUGGUAGCAUCAUCAUCACCAUCAUCACGCCGUCGUGCUGACAAAACUCUCCCUUGACACUGUUGGAUCGUGAGUUCGUGGGACGUCACCGAGCCGAACGUGUGCAGAUCGCGGAGGUUUCGUACCUUCGGUGCUAGGAACGGUCGAUCGUGAAGACGUAUGACUACAUCAACCGCGUUGUCAUAACGCUUCCGCUUACGGUCUACGAGGGUACGUGGACAACACUCUUCCCUCUCAUUGUUAUGCAUCACCAUGAUCUUGCGUGUGCAUAGGAUUUUUUUUGAAAUUACUGUGUUCCCCAACAGUGGCUUCCGAGCCAUGUUUAUGCGUAGAUGUUAUAUGCACGAGUAGAACACAAAGGAGUUGUGGGCGUGGGUAUAUACAUAUUGCUUGCCGUCACUAGUUGAUUCUUGAUUCAGCGGCAUUGUUGGAUAAAGCAGCCCAGACCGACAUUACGUGCACGCUUACGCGAGACUGGUUCUACCGACAUGCUUCGCACACAAGUGGCUAGUGGGUGUCUGUUUCUCCAGCUUUAGUUGAAUCGGAUUCAAUGAACAGGGUUCUUUCUGAACAUCAAAAAGCAAUCACUAUACCGCGUUGUGGUUUUUAAUGCGUAGGUAAGAACGGUUCUUGCUCAGCCCGUAGCAGCCACGUAAAACUUGCAACAACAAAGUAGAGGACGUCUAACUUGUUUUUGCAGGGCUUGUUUGUGAUGUGAUAUGGUCAAGACGUGAUGAGAUAUAAGUUGUUGUAUGAGAUGAUCAUGUUUUUGCUGAAGUUAUCGGCAACUGGCAGUAGCCUUAUGGUUGUCUCAUUAUUGCAUAAGAUGCAAGCACCAUGUAAUUGCUUUACUUUAUCGAUAUGCGAUAGCAAUAGUUGCAAAAGCAAUAGUUGGCGAGACGACCAUGUGACGACACAUUGAUAAAGAUCAAUAUGAUGGAGAUCAUGGUGUCAUGCCGGUGACGAUAGAGAUCAUGACGAUACUUUGGAGAUGGAGAUCAAAGACACAAAAUGAUGAUGGACAUAGCAUGUCACAUAUUUUGAUUACAUGUGGUGUUUAUCUUUUAUGCUUCUUAUUUUGCUUAGUACGGCGGUAGCAUUAUAAGAUGAUCUCUCACUAAAUUUCAAGGUACAAGUGUUCUCCCUGAGUAUGCACCGUUGUGACAGUUCGUCGUGCUGAGACACCACGUGAUGAUCGGGUGUGAUAAUCUCUACGUUCACAUACAAUGGGUGCAAGCCAGUUUUGCACACGCAGAAUACUCGGGUUAAACUUAACGAGCCUAGCAUAUGCAGAUAUGGCCUCGGAACACUGGAGACCGAAAGGUCGAGCGUGAAUCAUAUAGAAGAUAUGAUCAACAUAGAGAUGUUCACCAUUGAAAACUACUCCAUCUCACGUGAUGAUCGGACAUGGUUUAGUUGAUAUGGAUCACGUGAUCACUUAGAUGAUUAGAGGGGUGUCUAUCUAAGUGGGAGUUCUUAAGUAAUAUGAUUAAUUGAACUUUAAUUUAUCAUGAACUUAGUCCUGAUAGUAAUUGCAUGUCUAUGUUGUAGAUCAAUAGCUUGCGAUAUAGCUUCCCGUUUAAUUUUGAUAUGUUCCUAGAGAAAUAGAAGUUGAAAGAUGAUAGUAGCAAUGAUGUGGACUAGGUCCGUGAUCUGAGGUUUAUCCUCAUUGUUGCACAGAAAAAUUAUGUCCUUGAUGCACCGCUAGGUGACAGACCUAUUGUAGGAGAAGAUGCACGCAUUAUGAACGUUUGACAAAGCUUGGUAUGAUGACUACUUAAUAGUUUAGUGCACCAUGCUUUACGGCUUAGAACCGGGACUUCAAAAAUGUUUUUAAUGCCACGGAGCAUAUAAGAUGUUCUAAGAGUUGAAAUUGGUAUUUCAUACUCAUGCCCGUGUCGAGAGGUAUGAGACCUCUAACAGUACUUUGCCUACAAGAUGGAGGAGAAUAGCUCAACCAGUGAGCAUGUGCUCAGAUUGUCUGGGUACUACAAUUGCUUGGAUCAAGUGGGAGUUAAUCUUCCAGAUAAGAUAGUAAUUGACAAAGUUCUCUAGUCAUUAUCACCAAGUUACUAGAACUUAGUGAUGAACUAUAAUAUGCAAGGGAUGACAAAAAUAAUUCCCAAGCUCUUCGCGAUGCUGAAAUCGAUGAAGGUAGAAAUCAAGAAAUAACAUCAAGUGUUGAUGGUUAACAAGACCACUAGUUUCAAGAAAAGGGCAAAGGGAAAGAAAGAGGAACUUCAAAGAAGAAUAGCAAACAAGUUGCUGCUCCCAUGAAGAAGCCCAAAGCUAGACCCAAGCCUGGAACUGAGUGCUUCUACUACAAAGGAAAUGGUCACUGGAAGUGGAACUGCCCUAGAUACUUGGCGGAUGAGAAGGAUGGCAAAGUGAACAAAAGUAUAUUUGAUAUACAUGUUAUUGAUGUGUACUUUACUAGUGUUUAUAGCAACCCCUCAGUAUUUGAUACUAGUUCAGUUGCUAAGAGUAGUAACUCGAAAUGGGAGUUGCAAAGUAAACAGAGACUAGUUAAGGGCGAGGUGAUGAUGAGAGUUGGAAGUGAUUCCAAGGUUGAUAAGAUCACCAUCACACACUCCCUUUACCUUCGGGAUUAGUGUUGAACCUAAAAUAAAUGUUAUUUGGUGUUUGCAUUGAGCAUAAUAUGAUUGGAUCAUGUUUAUUGCAAUACAGUUAUUCAUUUAAGUCAAAGUAUAAUUAUUAUUCUAUUUAAAUGAAUAAAACCUUCUGUGGUCAUACACCCAAGGUGAAUGGUUUAUUGAAUCUCAAUCGUACUGAUACACAUAUUCAUAAUAUUGAAGCCAAAAGAUGCAAAGUUAAUAAUGAUAGUGCAACCUAUUUGUGGCACUGCCAUUUAGGUCAUAUUGGUGUAAAGCGCAUAAGGAAACUCCAUGCUGAUGGACUUUUGGAAUCACUUGAUGCUUGCGAACCAUGCCUCAUGGGCAAGAUGACUAAGACUCCGUUCUCCGGAACAAUGGAGCGAACAACUAACUUAUUGGAAAUAAUACAUACUGAUGUAUGCGAUCUGAUAAGUGUUGAGGCUCGCGACGGGUAUCGUUAUUUUCUGACCUUCACAGAUGAUUCGAGCAGAUAUGGGUAGAUCUACUUAAUGAAACAUAAGUCUGAAACAUUUGAAAAGUUCAAAGAAUUUCAGAGUGAAGUGGAAAAUCAUCGUAACAAGAAAAUAAAGUUUCUACGAUCUGAUCGCGGAGGCGAAUAUUUGAAUUAUGAGUUUGGUCUUCAUUUGAAACAAUGUGGAAUAGUUUCGCAAGUCACGCCACCUGGAACACCACAGCAUAAUGGUGUCUCCGAACGUUGUAAUAGUACUUUAUAGGAUAUGGUGCGAUCUAUGAUGUCUCUUACCGAUUUACCACUAUCUUUUGGGGUUAUGGGUUAGAUAUAGCUGCAUUCACAUUAAAUAGGGCACCAUCUAAAUCCAUUGAGAUGACACCGUAUGAACUUUGGUUUAGCAAGAAACCUAAUCUGUCAUUUCUUAAAGUUUGGGGUUGUGAUGCUUAUGUGAAAAAGUUUCAUUCUGAUAAGCUCAAACCCGAAUCGGAGAAGUGCGUCUUUAUAGGAUACCGAAAAGUAACUAUUGGGUAUACCUUCUAUCACAGAUCCGAAGGCAAGAUAUUAGUUGCUAAGAAUGGAUCUUUUCUAGAGAAGGAGUUUAUCUUGAAAGAAGUGAGUGGGAGGAAAGUAGAACUUGAUGAGGUAAUCGUACAUUCUCCCGAAUUGGAAAGUAGUUCAUCACAGGAAUCAGUUCCAGUGAUUCCUACACCAAUUAGUGAGGAAGCUAAUGAUGAUGAUCAUGAAACUUUAGAUCAAGUUACUACCGAACCUCGUAGGCCAACUAGAGUACGGUCCGCACCAGAGUGGUAUGGUAAUCCUGUUCUGGAAGUCAUGUUACUAGACCAUGACGAACCUACGAACUAUGAGGAAGCGACGAUGAGCCCAGAUUCCGCAAAAUGGCUUGAGGCCAUGAAAUCUGAGAUGGGAUCCAUGUAUGAGAACAAAGUAUGGACUUUGAUUGACUUUCCCGAUGAUUGGCGAGUCAUUGAGAAUAAAUGGAUCUUCAAGAGGAAGACAGACGAUGAUAGUACUGUUACUAUCUACAAAGCUCGAAUUGUCGCAAAACGUUUUCGACAAGAUCAAGGUGUUGACUACGAUGAGAUUUUCUCACUCGUAUCGAUGCUUAAAAGUCUCUCUGAAUCAUGUUAGCAGUUGCCGCAUUUUAUGAUUAUGAAAUUUGGCAAAUGGAUGUCAAAACUGCAUUCCUUAAUGGAUUUCUUAAAGAAGAGUUGUAUAUGAUGCAACCAGGAGGUUUUGUCAAUCCUAAAGGUACUAACAAAGUGAGCAAGCUCCAGCGAUCCAUCUAUGGACUAGUGCAAGCAUCUCGGAGUUGGAAUAUAUGCUUUGAUAAAGUUAUCAAAGCAUAUGGUUUUAUACAGACUUGCGGUGAAGCCUAUAUUUACGAGAAAGUGAGUGGGAGCACUACAUCAUUUCUGAUAAGUAUAUGUGAAUGACAUAUUGUUGAUCGGAAAUAAUGUAGAAUUUUCUGGAAAGCAUAAAUGAGUGUUUGAAAGGAGUCUUUCAAAGAAAGACCUCAGUGAAGCUACUUACAUAUUGAGCAUCAAGAUCUAUAGAGAUAGAUCAAGACGCUUGAUAUAUUUUCAAUAAGUACAUACCUUGACAAGAUUUUGCCUGUGUUGCAAGGUGUGAAGUUGAGUAAAGACUCAAAACCCGACCACGACAGAAAAUAGAAAGAGAAUGAAAAGUCAUUCCCUAUGCCUCAGUCAUAGGUUCUAUAAAAUAUGCUAUGUUGUGUACCAGACCUAUUGUGUACCUCACCAUAAGUUUAGCAAGAGGGUAGAAUAGUGAUCCAGGAGUGGAUCACUGGACAACGGUAAAAAAUUAUCCUUAGUGGAAUAAAGAAAUGUUUCUCGAUUAUGGAGGUGACAAAGAGUUCUUCGUAAAUAGUUACGUCGAUGCAAGCUUUGACACCGAUCUGGAGGACUCUAAGUCUCGAUCUAGAUACAUAUUGAAAGUGGGAGCAAUUAGCUAGAGUAGCUCUGUGCAAAGCAUUAUAGACAUAGAAAAUGUGCAAAACACAUACGGCUCUGAAUGUGGCAGACCCGUUGACUAAAUUUCUCUCACAAGCAAUACAUGAUCACUCUUUGGGUGUUAAUCAAAUAGCGAUGUGAACUAGAUUAUCGACACUAGUAAACCCUUUGGGUGUUAGUCACAUGGAGAUGUGAACUAAUCACAUAAAGAUGUGAACUAUUCGUGUUAAAUCACAUGACGAUGUGAACUAGAUUAUUGACUCUAGUGCAAGUGGGAGACUAAAGGAAAUAUGCCCUAGAGGCAAUAAUAAAGUUGUUAUUUAUAUUUCCUUAUAUCAUGAUAAAUUUUUAUUAUUAAUGCUAGAAUUGUAUUAACCGGAAACUUGGUACAUGUGUGAAUACAUAGACAAACAGAGUGCCACUAGUUUGCCUCUACUUGACUAGCUCAUUGAAUCAAUGAUGGUUAUGUUUCCUAACCAUAGACAUGAGUUGUCAUUUUAUUAACGGGAUCACAUCAUUAGAGAAUGAUGUGAUUGACUUGACCCAUCCGUUAGCUUAGCACGAUGAUCGUUUAGUUUGUUGCUAUUGCUUUCUCCAUAACUAUACAUCUUCCUAUGACUAUGAGAUCAUGCAACUCCCGAAUACCGGAGGAACACUUUGUGUGCUACCAAACGUCACAACGUAACUGGGUGAUUAUAAAGGUGCUCUACAGGUGUCUUCGAUGGUGUUUGUUGAGUUGGCAUGGAUCAAGAUUGGGAUUUGUCACUCCGAUUGUCGGAGAGGUAUCUCUGGACCCUCUCGGUAAUAUACAUCACUAUAAGCCUUGCAAGUUGUGGAAUACUAACCUCAUAGAUACUCUGUUUGAUCCUGAUAUAGCAAACACUAUUAAACAGGUACCAAUCAUUCAGGAGGAAGGUGAAGACCUAUUAUGUUGGAGGCCCACUCCAACAGGGAAAUUCACUACAAAAAGUGCAUACAAAACUUGUCUGCAGGCCAUGCAAGAAGAAGGAGAGCCAAGACCCAGAACUUUAUCCAAUAACACAAAAGAACUCUUAAAACAAGUUUGGAAGGAAAGAGAAAUAGCUCCAAGGAUACAAACUUUUGCAUGGAGGCUACUUAGGAAAGCUCUACCUACAGGAAAAAGAGCAGGUAAGUAUUCAAAACACAUUAGUAAGCUUUGUGAUAGAUGUGGUUUAGAGGAGGAUGAUUUGCACAUUUUUUUGACUGUGCUUUUGCUAGAGCAGCUUGGUUUGCAAAACCAUGGUAUAUUAAAUCUGACAUGUUGAGCCAGAACUCAGAUUCUUUAGUUAACAUCAUCUUAAACUUAGCUAAUUCUAAUCAUCCACACGCCACUUUAAGCAAUAUUUUCACCUUUAUGUGGUGCCUUUGGAAAUUUAGAAAUGAAAAACUUUUCCAGAAGAAAGAUGCCUGUCCAACACAUGUCUUUUCUGUUGCUCAAGCUAUAAAAAAUAGUAUGUCUUUCGAACAAAAUAUAAUUGUAUAGGAAACAGUAGCUUCUGGAGGAGAAAGAAAAUACGAACAGGGAGAUAGGAAGCACACCCAAGGAAGUACAAUUGACAACACUGAGCUCUCAACACCAAUUAAGGUCUUCACAGAUGUGGCGUGGAAUGAACAGAAGCAAGCAAACACAACAGGAACAGGGAAAGCAGGUCUAGGGAUUUACAUGCAGGUGCAAGAAGGACAAUCAAGAUGGCAUGUCAAGAUUGCAGCAACGGCCAUGAAUGCUCAAUCGGCAAUUCAUGCUGAAGCUCUAGCUAUCAAAUUAGCAGCUAUAAUUUUAAACAGGUCAGGAAUACAGGAAGCAGCCAUUUUAACAGAUAAUCUCACAUUGGCCAAGGCGGCAGCAGCAAGGGAACCUAACUUGCAGCCCGGACAUUGGAUUAUCAGAGGUCUUCUAACAGAUUUUGUGCACUCACAGCCUCUAGUAAUGUUCAGGUAUUUCAUGUCAGUAGAAAUCACAACACUAAGGCUCAUGAAGCAGCAAAGCUAGCCUAUUCGCAAGAAUUUCAUCCAAAUCAAAAGGCUGUAAUUAAAUGUAGUACAUUUGAAUAUCAGCAAUGGCAUUGUUCCCUGGAGCAAAUUAUUGCAGAUGUAUUACAACAGGGGUAUGCCAUUAAUCAUGUAAAUUGAUGUUAUUUUGAAUGAAUGGCGCCUUGAGCGCCCUUGUGUUGUUCAAAAAAAAGCCUUGCAAGCAAUGUAGCUAAUGAGUUAGUUACGGGAUGUAGCAUUACGGAACGAGUAAAGAGACUUGUCGGUAACGAGAUUGAACUAGGUAUUGAGAUACCGACGAUCGAAUCUCGGGCAAGUAACAUACCGAUGACAAAGGGAACAACGUAUAUCGUUAUGCGGUUUGACCGCUAAAGAUCUUCGUCGAAUAUGUAGGAACCAAUAUGAGCAUGCAGGUUCCGCUAUUGGUUAUUGACCAGAGACAUGUCUCGGUCAUGUCUACAUAGUUCUCGAACCCGUAGGGUCCGCACGCUUAACGUACAGUGACGAUCGGUAUUAUGAGUUUAUGUGUUUUGAUGUACCUAAGGUAGUUCGGAGUCCCGGAUUUGAUCACGGACAUGACGAGGAGUCUAUAAAUGGUCGAGACGUAAAGAUCGAUAUAUUGGAUGACUAUGUUUGGACAUCGGAAGGGUUCCGAGUGAAGUUCAAGCAUAUACCGGAGUACCGGGGGGUUACCGGAACCCCCGGGGAGUUUAAUGGGCCUUAUGGGCCUUAGUGGAAAGAGAGGAGAGGCUGCCAGGGCAAGCCGCGCGCCCCUCCCCCUCUGCUCUGAAUUGGACUAGGAAGGGGGGUGCCCCCCUUUUCCUUCUCCCUCUUUCCUCCUUCCUUCUCCUACUCUUACUACAUGGAAAGGGGGGAAUCCUACUCCCAGUGGGAGUAGGACUCCCCAUGGGGCGCGCCAUAGGAGGGUCGGCCCACUCCCUCCUCCACUCCUUUAUAUACGGGAAGGGGGGCACCCCAUAGACACUCGAGUUGAUCAUUGAUCUCUUAGCCGUGUGCGGUGCCACCCUCCACCAUAAUCCACCUCGGUCAUAUCGUAGCGGUGCUUAGGCGAAGCCCUGUUCUAGUAGUAUCAUCAUCACCGUCAUCACGCCGUCAUGCUGAUCAAACUCUCCCUCGACACUCUGCAGGAUCGUGAGUUCGUGGGACGUCACCAAGCCAAACGUGUGCAGUUCACGGAGGUGGCGUACCUUCGGUGCCAGGAUCGGUCGAUCGUGAAGACGUACGACUACAUCAACCACGUUGUCAUAAUGCUUCCGGUCUACGAGGGUACGUGGACAACACUCUUCCCUCUCGUUGCUAUGCAUCACCAUGAUCUUGCGUGUGUGUAGGAUUUUUUUUUUGAAAUUACUGCGUCCCCAACAGCUGUUAGUUGGUGCAGUUCCAAACAGAGCGACAUGGCGGGAUCUACGUGUGAAGCGGAGUACAUAGCUGCUUCAGAAGCAACAAAUGAAGGAGUCUGGAUGAAGGAGUUCAUAUCCGAUCUAGGUGUCAUACCUAGUGCAUCGGGUCCAAUGAAAAUCUUUUGUGACAACACUGGUGCAAUUUCCUUGGCAAAGGAAUCAAGAUUUCACAAAAGAACCAAGCACAUCAAGAGACACUUCAAUUCCAUCCGCGAUCAAGCCAAGGAGGGAGACAUAGAGAUUUGCAAUAUACAUACGGAUCUGAAUGUUGCAGACCCGUUGACUAAGCCUCUCUCAUGAGCAAAACAUGAUCAUUACAAUGUAUCUAGAUUAUUGACUCUAGUGUAAGUGGGAGAUUGAAGGAAAUAAUAAAGUUGUUAUUUAUAUUUCCUUAUAUCAUGAUAAAUGUUUAUUAUUCAUGCUAGAAUUGUAUUAACCGAAAACUUAAUACAUGUGUGAAUACAUAGAUAAACAGAGUGUCACUAGUAUGCCUCUACUAGACUAGCUCGUUGAAUCAAUGAUGGUUAUGUUUCCUAACCAUAGACAUGAGUUUUCAUUUGAUUAACGGGAUAACAUCAUUAGAGAAUGAUGUGAUUGACUUGACCCAUCCGUUAGCUUAGCACGACAAUUGUUUAAUUUAUUGCUAUUGCUUUCUCCAUAACUUAUACAUGUUCCUAUGACUAUGAGAUCAUGCAACUGCCGAAUACCGGAGGAACACUUAGUGUGCUAUCAAACGUCAAAACGUAACUGGGUGACUAUAAAGAUGCUCUACAGGUGUCUCAGAUGGUGUUUGUUGAGUUGGCAUAGAUCGAGAUUAGGAUUUGUCAGUCCAAGUAUCAGAGAGGUAUCUCUGGGUCCUCUCAGUAAUGCACAUCACUAUAAGCCUUGCAAGCAAAGUGACUAAUGAGUUAGUUACGGGAUGACGCAUUACGGAACGAGUAAACAGACUUGCUGGUAACGAGAUUGAACUUGGUAUUGAGAUACCGACGAUCAAAUCUCGGACAAGUAACAUACCGAUGACAAAGGGAACAACGUAUAUCGUUAUGCGGUUUGACCAAUAAAGAUCUUCGUAGAAUAUGUGGGAGCCAAUAUGAACAUCCAGGUUCCACUAUUGGUUAUUGACCAGAGACGUGUCUCGGUCAUGUCUACAUAGUUCUCGAACCCGUAGGGUCCGCACGCUUAACGUUCGGUGACAAUCGGAAUUAUGUGUUUAUGUAUUUUGAUGUACCGAAGAUAGUUCAGAGUCCCGGAUAUGAUCACGGACAUGACGAAGAGUCUCGAAAUGGUCGAGACAUAAAGAUUGAUAUAUUGGAUGACUAUAUUCGGACACCGGAUGAGUUCCGGGGGUCACCGGAUAAUUAUCGGAGUGCCGGGGGGUUAUGGGAACCCCUGGGGGAUCUAAUGGGCCAACAUGGGCCUUAGUGGAGAGAGAGAGGGCCGGCCAAGGCAGGGCUGCGCGCCCCCUCCCCUCUAGUCCGAAUUGGACUAGGGAAGGGGGGCGGCGCCCCCCUUUCCUUCUCUUCUCUCCCUCUCCUUCCUUUCCCCUUCCUCCUCCUAGUAGGACUAGGAAAGGGGAGUCCUACUCCUACUAGGAGGAGGACUCCUCCCCUCCUUGCGUGUCACCAAGGGCCAACCGGCCUCCCCCCUUGCUCUUUUUAUAUACGGGGUCAAGGGGGCACCCUAGAACACACAAGUUGAUCAUUGAUCCCUUAGCCAUGUGCAGUGCCCCCCUCCACCAUAAUCCACCUCGGUCAUAUCGUCGUAGUGCUUAGGCGAAGCCCUGCGCUGGUAGCUUCAUCAUCACCGUCAUCACGCCGUCGUGCUAACGAAGCUCUCCCUCAACAGUCAGCUAGAUCGAGAGUUCAUGUGACGUUACCGAACCGAACAUGUGCAGAUUGCGGAGGUGCCGUACUUUCGGUAUUAGGAUCGGUCGGAUCAUGAAGACGUACGACUACAUCAACCGCGUUGUCAUAACGCUUCCGCUUACGGUCUACGAGGGUACAUGGACAACACUCUUCCCCUCUCGUUGAUAUGCAUCACCAUGGUAGAUCUUGCGUGUGCGUAGGAUUUUUUUUGAAAUUACUGCGUUCCCCAACACUUACAUGCCCAGUUGUACCGGAGAACGAGUAUUCCCCGGAACAACCGUUGUGCCACUACCCUUGUGUCGCUCACACCCCGAAGGAUUCAUCCCUAUCGCGGUGGUUUGAGCGGUACUAACACUAGUAUAAUCACCCAAGACAAUGUCUGGGGUUUGCUAAGUCCCGAGUGGUACAACCGGCCUUGACCUGGUUGUAUCGGUAGCAAAGUGACUUCUUGAACAAUCGGGUAGCAACCACUUGGGUAUCACACCCUAGUGCAAUGUGCGGUUGAACCUCUAGUAAACUAAGUAGUACAACCACCUCUGCACGCGGUACAAUCGUCUGGGUGGUAGUAGCAGAGGGCACUCCACAUAGGGGGCGGUACAACCGCUGCUACCUGCAGUACAACUGCUCUGGGCAGGUUUCUCUGCAUGGGUUAGAUGAGAGGCUCUCUCCUCAAAUUGGAAGGAUAUAUGUCGGUGCAAUACGUAGAUGUGUAUGUGUUUGAUUCACCCAAUAUCUUCUAAUGCGGACCCCCCCUCUUAAUAGUACAUAUUUCCUACGACCGAAGAAAUAAAAGCGUUGGAAAUGUUGUCUUUGCUCUUUCCAUCCGGAGGGGUGCCCAACCGUGUUGUGCCCUAUAGAGUAUACAUGUGUAGAUUAGGCACAUCGUUAGUUCGUAAAUUGCAUUGUCAUCAACACCAAAACACUUAAGGCUGGAAAUGCCUUUUCACCCGUUACCAUCGUACCUAGACACUUAGCUUGGGAUCCCCCACCCGGAGAUCUGUCUGAUUUACCUUUAUCACUUGGCCAUGACCUGUCUUUUCAGUCCCGGUCGUAUAGGGAUCACGCACAAUCAAAUGGAGAUGAGUAAUUGGAGCUGAGCCAGAAGGACGUGUUGCACACGAUCCGAGCAGUGACCGCCCGCAACGCCUGAUCAUGAUAGGGUGCCAUCGGAUGCUGAGCUCGGGCACGUGAAGACAAAUCACAUCAGGUAUGCACAGGAGUGUGCGUGGAGUACGUCUCCACAUAAUUUGUUUCCCAACCGGAUGUGAUGGAGAUGACCUGCAGGGGAAGCUCUAAGGAGUGGUGGUGAAGAUGAUAGGGACUCACUGUGCUAGACGAGUUCUGAAAAAAGUAAUGACGUGAGAAGGUGAUGUAGCUUCAUGAGGUCAUAAGGAAUGCCGGGGUGCACAUUUUUUUCUGAGAUGACAUGGUUGCUAAUACGAAUAUUUUGCAUGUUAAGAUAAAUAAGAUAGCGGAGAUAAGUCUAUUAGGUAAUCUUAUCGAGCACACGUUCUGUCCGACGCCUUCCCGCACAAUGGGCAUGCAGACGUCUGAUGCCCCUCGUGGCAGCGCCAUGUAUGCACAUGAUGAUGCAUGACGUAAUAAUGGUCGAAGUGACACACGCAGCUGAUGUCGUGCACCCUGGGUCGUAACCCUUAAAUUUGAGUGAGGUAAAGUAGCACUGGAACUCAACAAGGUGUUCUAAAAAAAGAGCACAAAAUAAUUAUUUUUUAUCUUGAAGGUAUUCUAAAAAAGAGAGCACAAUAAUAAUAUUUUUUUAUCUUUAAUUUGUCUUUAGUAAUAUUAUCUCUUUAUUUUUAGCAAAAAAUUGUUUGUUUGUUUUUAUUUAAGAAACAACUUUUGUCUUCUCUUAGAAAAAGAAAUGUCACUUUUUCAGAAAAUAAAUAUCUUUCUUGAGAGUUAUCUUUUUUUUGGAGAAUAAUCUUUUUUUAGCAGUAUCUCUUUGUUUUUUUAGUAGCACGUAUUCUUUUUGUGUGUGUGUGUGGAGAAACACGUAUCUCUGUAUUGUUAACACUUUCUUGUAUGUUUUAUUUCUGAGACAUACACGUUCUUGUAUGUGAAGUCCCGCGUUAACACAUUGGGCCAAUGGCAGGGGAUCUAUGAUAAAGAGCGGAACAGUAGACCCACAAGCUAAAAAAAAUAGGCCCACGACACGGAGAAAGCCCAUUAGGGUUUACAGCCAAGCUCGCCACCUAUAAACGCUUCUCUCCCUCUCACGGACGCCUCCUUCGCCCGCCGCCUCCUGCUCUCCCCAUCUCCUUAGGUUAGGUUAGGCUAGGGGCUUCACAGAGCUCGCGGAAAUGGUGGCCUUCAGGGUAAGUUCCACUGCCGCCUCCCGGCCGUAGCUAUCCUCGACGCCUCCGUGUCCGCCCUUGAUCCGUGUUUCUGAUUCGUCUCAACGCGUCCGUGCGUGUGCAGUUCCAUCAGUACCAGGUGGUGGGUCGUGCGCUGCCGACGCCCGGCGAUGAGCAGCCGAAGAUCUACCGCAUGAAGCUCUGGGCCACCAAUGAGGUCCGCGCCAAGAGCAAGUUCUGGUGAGCUCCUCCCCGUCGCCUCGCGACAUCUGAAGGAUCUGUUCGUUUUCGAUUCGGUAUUUCUGAUGCUGUUGUCGCGUCUGUGCAGGUAUUUCCUGAGGAAGCUGAAGAAGGUGAAGAAGAGCAACGGCCAGAUGCUCGCCAUCAACGAGGUAUUGGGCCUUUCUCGUCUUAUGUUUUGCCAUGAGCAUGGAUUAUGUCCCACCUUCUGGUUCUUUCCUGUACAUUACAAUUACCAACCGAGAGCGGCUUAAUUAGCCCCUUUUAUCGACCCACUCUUACAACUGCAUCGGUAGUUUUAUCUGUACUCUCUGUGGCGUUAUUAGUCGGAAUGCAACAUAAAAUCAUUCUAGUUGUGUUUGAAUAUGCAGUGAUGCCCCUUCCAUCUUGUUGUGAUCACUAUGUAUGCGAUUUUCUUGCGAAAAUAUGCAUCUGUAGUUGUAUUUACAUUAUCUAUGCGUAAAUUACUUCUGAUACUUCAUUCUGAUGUGCGAAGGCUCUGUUUUGCAUAAUAUAAUUUGUAUUCACUACAAGGACUUGUACCGCAAAAGUUCUGUGAGUUCUUUUUGCCACAUCCCGUUUCAUCUGAAGGGACCCAUAUGAGCUGUCUAUUAUGCGGUCACGUAUACUUUCUGAUUUGUGAUUUUUCCUUUUUCUAAUUGUGUUAUGUGUAUGUUGUGGUUGACUGGUGUUAAUCCAUAGUUUCUUUGUUUGGGAACCAAUUGGAACCUGAUUUUUUCACUGAUUCUUUUUUACUCAAUUAUGGCAUGUGAUUGUUACUUAUGCACUGAAUUACUCUUUUUUUGUCAGAUCUUUGAGAAGAACCCAACCACGAUCAAGAACUAUGGCAUUUGGCUGCGUUACCAGAGCAGGACUGGCUACCACAACAUGUACAAGGAGUACCGUGACACCACACUAAAUGGUGCCGUGGAGCAGAUGUACACUGAGAUGGCCUCUCGCCACCGUGUGAGAUCCCCCUGCAUUCAGAUCAUCAAGACCGCGACUGUCAACUUCAAGCUAUGCAAGAGAGACAACACCAAGCAGUUCCACAACUCCAAGAUCAAGUUCCCCCUUGUGUACCAAAAGGUCAGGCCACCAACCAGGAAGCUGAAGACCACCUACAAGGCAACGAGGCCGAACUUGUUCAUGUGAUUGGGCUGUGGUGGAUGCUGUUAAGAGUUGAAAUGUUUUCUUCGUAUGUUGGAUCUUCUGAUGCAUGAAGACAAGCGUUUUGUUGCUUAUUUAUCGGUUAAAGACAUGGUUGGUGGACCUUCUGAUUGUGUUCUUAUCAGUAAUCUGCAUACAAUCUAUUGGUACCUGAUAUAGAUAUCUGUUUGAAGUCUGUUCUGUUUUCGUGUCUAGUUUCUCUUACGAUCGCCCAUGCUGAUUUUGAAAUAAAAUCAUGUCACUGGUAACAGUGCUUAACUUGAUAUUGAAAUAAAAUCAUGUCACUAUGGUAACAGCGCUUAACUGUAACUCUUCCAUCUUUACCGCUCUGUUUUUCCUUUUUCCUUGAUUUUUGUUCUCUCCGGCUUUCAGCUAAUUUUUCACUACAGUUAAUUUUGUGAACCUUUAAUUGAAGAUGAAC